rnacentral:lncRNA from 1 species
UUUAUGAUUUAUUAUUAGAAUUAAAUCAGCUUAUUUGUUUUCCAUUUUUGUUUUUUGUUUUUUUUUUUUUUUUGUCGGCAAUUCAUUUGCAUUAAAAGCCCAAUGGGCAGAUACAGAAGGAGCAAAAACCCAGGAAGAUUACAACAAAAGUUAACGGCCCAAUCUAAUCUAAAACAAAUGCUUUAGCAAAAGACACGUGUAGGAUAUGUGUUUUGCUCCAUUCCACGCGUCAAGUCAUCAAGCUCCACCGUCAACGAUCGCCAUACACCGCACGAAUCCGAUCAGCCGCCGCCGAUCAGCCCAAGAACGAUGAGAAUCUUCCAUCCUUCUGUCGUUCUCAGAUCCUGUCCAAAUCAUCGAGAAACCUCCGGAUCUAUUGAAAGAAACCGCUUCAAAACUUUUCUGAGCAACACCAUCUCCGAGGAAGCUCCACCGCUUCCCACACCCAACUUGAUGUGGUCUUGUCUUUGCUCUUACUUCAUGAGCAAAAUAAAGCGACGAAGAUAUUACUCCACGAAAAGAUUGGAGAGAUCAGAUUGGAUUUUGAAGAAAAACAGAGGCAUCGAUGGCACGAAGGAAAAGAGAACAAUACCUCGCAAGAGCGAGAAACAAAAAGCCGGACAAAGACGGUAAACUAGAAUCCGACAGCGGUCGGAAAUUAUUUAACUCGUUCAAAGACGAGAGUAUAUACAACUCCGGGGAAGACCGGAAUCAAAACCAACGAGAAGCUUCUCUGAUCUAAAAGAUAUGGAAAUAAAUAAGAGAGAAGAAGCUUUUUUGGUUCGCCGGUUAAAAUUCCGGUACACCGGAAAUCGCCUUCUCUCUCUGAAAGAUAGGAGUGAGAUAAGAGAGAGAUUUUCUCAAUUCUUUCUUCUUCCUUUUUUGUAUCAAUGUUUGUUGAGUGCUAAAUCUUUUAUUUAAUUUUUUAAAACUAAAUAAUAAAUGACAAUGACAUUCUCUUGUAAAUAAGUGUCAACUCUAGGAUUUUAAACAUUCUCUUGUAAAUGCUAGAGUUACUUGUUAAAAUUGUAACUCUAGCAUUUAACGAAUCCUGAACUAUCUAGCCGGCUUCUUUAUCUCCGGUUUCAAAGUCUCUUCCCUCCAGCAGACCAAUCUCAUGAUUAAUAGUUUUUCAUCAUAAUUCACUUUUGCUUGAUCCAAGGCUUUUUGUUUCUCUUUACUUUCAUUUCUCAGUUUUGAUUGCGAGAGAGGCAAAGCAGAUCGAUUUUUAAUUUGGCAUUUUCUAAUUCUGAUUUUUUCUGAACAAGAGAUGAAAAAAACUCAACUGUUCUCAACCUUUCUUGUUUGUAAUCCUAAUUUAUGUGACGAUCCUUCCACUUUGUCUUUUGUGUUUUUUGCUUCGCUUCGUCUAGCCGCUUUUGUGUGUUUGUGUGUAGUAUCAAUCGUUUUGUUAGUCAUUUUUGUGUGCGUUUUAUAUGUUACGGCAUUACUCAUUUUUGUGUGUUUCGUUUAGUGAUUUUGGUUUUUGGUUAAUCAUUUUUGUGUGUUUGCUCUUCAGCGAUUAGGGCCCCCAAUUUUUUUAUUUUGGUUUAUGGCAAUGAGGUGCUUCGUCUAGCGAUUGUUUGGUCUUCAGCGAAUUUAGCAUUAGUCAAAUUUUAUGUGUUCAUCUAGCGAUAGUUUGGUCUUUCACGAUUAAGUUGGCGUUAAUUAAUUUUCUGUGUUCCGUCUAGUGAUUGUUUGGUCUUUGACGAUUACGUUCGUUAGUCAUUUUUGUCUGUUUUCGUGCUUUGUAUGCUCUCUACGCUCCCUCUCUCUCACACGUCACCGAUUUUCAUCUACAUCCUAUAUACUCAAUACAUCAAAAUAAACAGAAUUACAUACAAGCUGGUUAACUUCAAAAGGUUGGCCAAGUGAUGGAGAACUCUGAAAAAAUUAAUCAAAAUCAAUCAUCAUUAGUCAUUACAAUUUUUGUACAUGCAUUAUUCCAAAAAUUAAUAAAUCAUUUUAGACAAAACCAAAAAACCUUCUAUGUUUUCUUAACACAUCUAAAUUCCUUAAAUUUUUGUGUGAGUCAAUUUUUUGUGUCGCUAGGCAACCGUUCGGCAAGUUUUUGUGCUUCGUCUAGCGAUCGUUUGGUCUUCGGCGAUUAUGUUAGCGAUAGUCAAAUUUUAUGUGUUUCAUCUACCGAUCGUUUGGUCUUUCAAGAUUAAGUUGGCGUUAGUCUAUUUUGUGGGUUUUCGUCUAACGAUCGUUUGGGCUUUGGCGACUAGGUUCGUUAGUCAUUUUUGUGUGUUUUCUUGUGCUUCGUUGCUCUCUACGUGUGUUUUCUUGUGGUUCGUUGCUCUCUACGCUCCCUCUCACACAUACACACACACUCACACCCAAUACAUACAUCUAUGAAUACACACACACACUAUCACACCCUAUACAUACACACACACACUAUCACACCCGUCACCGAUUUUCAUCUACACCCUAUAUACUCUAUACCCCUGUUCUAAAAAUCCCCGCCUAGCCCCGAUUAAUCCCCGCUUAAUCGCUAGGCCCACCCUAUCCGCCUCGAUUAAUGACUAAUCCCCUAAAAAAUCAGUAACCCGAUUAUUCUCCGCCUAAUCCGAUUACUUCCCACCUAAUCCGAUUAUUUUCCACCUUAUCUUAUAUAUCCCGAUUAUUUUUUAGAUUGCAAGUAUAAAAAAACCUUUUAUUUUUGUUAUUCAAUCAUUUGAAUGGGGAGUUUGUGAUGUUUUACAAUAACUUGUGUUCAAAUUUUAAUAAAAAUCAUAAAUUUGUAAUAAAAAUCAUAAAUUUUUACAAUAUUGGAUUAAUAUAUUUUAAAAAUAUUAAAAUAACCCUAAAACUAAUCCCCGAUUAAUCCCUGAUUUUAAUCCGAUUUUCCGAUUAAUCGCUAGGCCCAUGCCGAGCGCCCGACUAGCGCCUAGCGAUUUUUCAAACAAGGCUCUAUACAUAUCCAUCUUUCAUCAAAAAAAAAAAUUACAUACAUACACAAUUGGUUAAGUUCAAAGGUUGGCCAAGUAGAAGAUGGAGAACUCCGGAGACAGUCCCUAGGCUUUGUAUCCUCCGCAAAAUUUAGUUAAAAACUUAAAAUCAAUCAUCAUUGGUCAUUACAAUCUUUUUUCCACCUUGUCAACAGUUUUUAUACAUACAUUAUUAUAACUACGUUACUUCAAAAUCCAAAUAUGAAUAAAUCAUUUACACAAAACCAAUUCUUUCUUUGUUUCUAACGAAAUGUUUUUCAAAAAAAACUUCUAUGUUUUUCUUAGACAGAACAUAUCUACCUAAAUCAUUCUCACAUCAUUAAGUAAAGACUCGCAUAUAUAACUAAAAAAAAUGUGUCAAUAACCUGAUUUUCAGUUUAUUGACACAUUUUUUUUAGUUGAAGUUACUAACACAUAGAGCUGUCAAAAUGGGCGGACCGCCCAUGGACUGUCCGUGUCCAACACCUAAUGGACCAGUCAUGGACAAGCCCAUUUUGACAUGGGCGUUAAUGGGCAUGGUAAACAGAGUAAUUAGCAGAGACUAACAAGAAUCUUCUAAUGGUAAACAAACUAGAGGAACUAGAUCAAGAGUAUUUAAUUUACCUGUAAUAUGAUGCUUCUAUGUUUGUUUCUGUUGUCGGAAUGAGAACUCAAGUGGAAGAACAAAACUAAGAGGAUAGAAGAACAAAGAGUGUAGUUGACGUUUGUAAGAGGGAGGAUUCAGAUUUUUGGGUUUAGUUUUCAAUAAAAUUCAAACAUAAUGCAGAUAAUGAAACCAAAACUAGAGUUAUUUCACCUCUUGUUGUAUUGAAUAAAAUAUUCUCACCAAUCUACUUCAAUAAAAUAAAUUUAUUAUAACAAUGGGAAGGAACUCCACAGUUUUUACACAAGUAAAAAAGUAAGAACUAAAGAAACGAAGCAAAAGAAGAAAAGAAAGUAAGAAAGACUAGCAAUGUUUAACAAGUAAUUGAUUAGAGAAACCAUAAUUAGUUAAUCUCAAACCAAAACGGAAACGAAAGUAGCAUAUGCUUGACUACUUGAUACAGACGCUUAAUGAUGAUUGAACGUGAAAGAGUUUAACCACCUUGUGAGACGUUCUAAAGGUGACAACUUUGGAACAUUGGCUGUUGGUCCAACCACAACUUGGAGCUUAAGUCCAGCCUCACAGUGACCUGGCUCUGAGCUAAUGAAAUAAUGGAUUCCUGGUUCGGUGAGCUUUAUGAGAUCGUGGCCUGUCUUGUGCACGGCUACGGGAGAAAUCGGGUCGCAGUAUAGGAAUUCAAGGUCGCCGCUGAUCUCGAAGACAUCAUUGACUUCGUUGUUGUAUUCGAAAAGGAGACUGUCUCCAACAUGGAAUUGUUUCUCUUUACUCCACUGGUAAUAGAACUCACUGUCGUAAACGCUCCAUCUUUUGGAGUCGCCUACCUUGUAGAUAUUUCCAGACGGAAGAAUCUUGCUCGGUGAUGGUGGAGGAAUCGGACUCGACGGGUCAUGGGUAACAAGAACGUCCAGCCUCUGUCCCGAUGUACAUUGAGUAUGGUUUGAGGUGAUGAAGUAGUAAGACCCUGGUUCCUUCAAAGUUACAACAUCGUGGCCUGUGUUGUAGACGGCUUUAGGGAAAGAAGAGUCGCAGAAUUCGUACUCCAAAGCGCCGGAAACUUGAGUGACAUCGUUGAAGUUACGAUCAUAUUCAAAGAUCAGGGAAUCUCCCACGUGGAACUCCUCACUGUCGGUCCAGUUGUCGUCUUCCUUAGGGGUCCAUCCAUCGGAGUCUCCCACUUUGUGGACUGUUGCCGAAAAACAACCCAACAGAACCGUGAAGGUUGUUAUCACGAGCAAGAAGAAGCCGAAGAUUCUUUUGACCAUGGUUGGAGGAAAAAAUUUAGAAGCGAAGAAGAAAGAUUGUGGUGAGAUCUCGAACGAGCAAAACCGAGAGAGAUAGUAAUUAAUUGUGUUGUGUUGAUGAAUGAUGAGUUGGGAAGAGAAUACGUAGUCUAUCACUAUUUAUAUUCAUUAAUAAGACUGUUUAUUUAUAUAAUGUUUUGUUAUUCCUAAUCUUGCUAUGAUUAUAUUUUGUAUAUUCACCUCUUAUCUUCAAUAAAAAAAACACGGUUUGAGAUCUCUUCUAGCUUAGUGCUUUUCGGAUUAGGUUUAUCAUUUUUCUUAUUAAUGAAUUAUUAAUGAAUUUAAUCAAAAAUUUAUCCUAUUUUCGCCACUGAUAUAAUUGGAUAUCUAGUUUUUAUGGAACAAGAGAUAUAUAUCUCUUAUCAAGUUAUUUUCACUUUUCGUCCAGAAAAAAAAUCAAGUUAUUUUCAAUUUUCAAAUGCAUUUUUUUUUUCUUUUUUUUUUCUUAAGUCUGCCUUUAACUUUCUUUCUUUUUCUUAGUUUUAUUAGGUUAUUAGGGAUUGACCCGCGGUAUACCGCGGGAUGAUUUUUUGUAAAAUUUAUGAUUUUUUAAAAUUUUAGUUAUGUAUUAUAUAUAUAAAUUUGUAAAUUAUAUCAUUUUAAAUAUAUUUACAAUUUAUAGUUUAUAAUUGUCAUUAAGUAACGGUAUAUUGCGGAACAAUUUUUGUUUUAUAUAAUCUAAACUAAAUUAGACUGAUUCGAUAUGUCUAAUAUUACAGGUCUUCCAAAAUAAUAAAAUGAAGAUUUAACCCGUAUUGAAAUGAUGGGUUAAUGAUAUUUUCACAGAUCAAAACUUUCUUCCUCGAAUUGAAGUUUUGGGAGCUACUAAUUAAUUUUGAUUCAAACCCGUCCCGCCAUAUAAUUUUGUCCCGUAAUAUAACCCGUCAUGUGUUAGAUUAAAAUGUUGAUAUGUUCAAAUAUUCAUAAUAUUAUAAAAAAUUAUUGAUUUUGUAUAUAUAACUUAUAAUAUUUAUUUUUUAAAGAAUUAUACGGAUAUUUUGAAUUCCGAUUGUUAGUAGUAUUAAAAAAAUUCUUCAAAUUCGUUGGUAUGAUUAUUUGUUUUGGCGAUUUUGUGUUGAUAAUAUAAGAGAAUAUAUGGUAAGUAAUUUUGAAUUGAAAAUCUUAAUUCAAAUAGAGUAUAAAUGAUCAUUGUCGAGAUAUGAAAGAUUGUCUCGAGAUUUUUGGCAAACAAAUUAGAUUUACAUAUAUUUAAUUAAAGAAACAAAUCUUAAGAAUUAAUGUCAGUGACAUUACAUUGUAAAUAAGUAUCAACUCCAGGAUUUAUUUUGAAACUCCAAAAAUGUAUAUAUAGAUUCGAAUUAUUUUCCUUUAUAUAUUUAUAUUUUAACUUCUUCACACGUAAUUCUUCAUUUUGUCCACUAAUUUUUUAUUUUUAAUUAAUCGUAAACUAUAUAGCCGGCUUCUUUAUCUCUGGUUUCAAAGUCUCUUCCCUCCCGCAUACCAGUCUCGUGAUUAAUAGUUGUUCAUAGUUCACUUUUGCUUCCAAGGCUUUUUGUUUCUCUUUAAUUACUUUCAUUUCUCAGUUUUGAUUUUGUAUCAUAAAUACUAUUUCUCUUUCAAUUUCGUUAUAAUAUGGUACAUCCAAUAAAAAAAAAUUCCAAACAAGUCACGUACGGAUGUACGGACGAACGGUUAUGAGCUAUCAACAAAACAAGGAACCAACGAAAUAAAUGAGAAUAAAUAGUAGAAAUUUUUUUUUGGGAUGAAGUAAAAAAUGAAAGAACAGAUUAUACCUUUCGUAUUUCUUUUUUCUAAAUUAUCAUUAUAAACUGAAAUUGUCCUUCUAUAGCUUCUCUUUUUUGUUCUCUGUCCAUAACCUACAAAUCUCUUUAAACCAAGCCAAGACAAUAGUAACCAAACAAACUAAAAUUGGACCAUGGGUAGGGAGAGAGAAAGAGAGACUUUUGAAACUGCCCAUUAGCUUAGAAUGUACCAUGAAACUUUGUCAGCUUAGCUAGAGAUAGGCACAGAGAGUACAAUUCAUAAAAUUUAUAAGCUUUUUUUCUCCUUCCCAAGUGUAUAUCUCCUUCCCAAUCCCAAGUAUAUAACCAAAUAAUAGUUAGGAAAUAUAAAGAGAUGGACACUUUUAAUUUAUGGAUUGGUGGUAUAUAUAUGCAUCUCAAUAUGAGUAAGUAUAGUUUCAAGAUUAUAUGAAGAUGAUUAUUUAUGUAUAAAUAUAAGCUGAAUAUAACAUUGAAAGAUAUGGGUUUUCUCUUCAGCAUGGUAAUUAGGGCUCAUGAAGCAUCAACAUGUUGAAACAAAAACUCAAAAAACGAACAUUUUAAAAGCAAUAUAGAUAUUAUAAGCCUGGUUAAUUCCCCACUACAUAUUCUCCAAUUACCUAAUGAUUUGAAGGUUGAAUUGAAACUAACUUUUAAAAGGAAACAAAAGCGAAUUAAAUAAAAUGGUGAAUAAAUUACUUCUUAGUUCUUAUUUUUUUCUAUCUUCAAAACUCUAUAGAUUUCCCUUUCCUCUUAAUUUCUUCAUCAUCACUUAGCUGCAUAGCCGAAGAAGAGGAUGCACCCAUUUCGCCACGUGGCGACCUCCAAAACGAUUGAUCAUCGUCUCUGAUCACAACCGGAGACGACGAAGAGUACCCUGGAACUCCCAUUUCGCCACGUGUCUCCCCUGAAGAUGUAGACUCCUCCACGUCAACCCCAAACAGCCUCAACUUCUUCGUCGUCGACGGCUGAGGAGGCGCAGAUGGAAGUACCCUCCCCGCUGGAAAAACAGGAACCGAGUCAUAAACCAACGGCUCAGAUCUACCAAGAUUCCACUGAUGAUGAUCCAACGGUGAUCCUGCGUAGUAACGCGCUCCAUUACCGUUCACAAUUCUACCAUAACCAUACCCUAAAUAUUCCCGUUCUUGAAAUUGGUUAUGAUAAAAUGGUGGAAAACUCCGGUGGCUUGGCAUGGAAUAUUCCGGCGUCACCGGAUAAAACCUAGCCGUUGGAUAUGUCGGAGACCCGAAAAUGAAGUUAUGCUGGUUAAAGUUGUGUACGAGGUUUAUCUCGGCUCUAUGCCUCCAAUCAAUGAACAUUAGUUUCCGGCGUCUCUCCGGUGGUGCGUUAUCGUCGGGGAUGAAGCCACGGUGGAAAGAGACGGUGUCUCCGGCGAAGAGUUUCUUCUCUUUGACGAAACGGCUCCAUCCUUUGGUCAUCACGUAGCUUUGGCUACUGUUCCAAUACGAGUAACGAAACCUCCACAUCUUGCCGUUUCUGUCUUGGAAAUCCAACACUGUGCCGUUUUGAUUGCCCUCUAAAGGGAAGUAGUUCUCUGCAUGUUGCUUUGGAAUCACGAGCCGGUUUAGUUUACCGACGUCACUUGGUGUCAACACUUUGUCGAACAUGUGCUCUCUUCUCUCCGAGCUGUAGAAGUAAUUGGUGUUGUCGGAACUGCUAGCUCCGAUAUCGGCGAGUUCUUGAUCAGAAUUCAGCGUUGACAUAUUCAUCAUAAGUAUCAAGCUUUGUUAUAUAUAGGUUCUUGAGAAGAUUGAUGACCCAAUUUCAAGAUCUUUCAAAAGUAUCCAACUUUUUUUCCUUAAUGGGUUCUUGACAAGAAGAUGGACCAAUUCAAGAUCUUUGAAAAAAGUAUUCAACUUUAUUUUUAUGGAUCUGAUGAGUGAUUCUUGACAAGAUGAUGACCCAAUACAAAAUCCUUCAACAUACAUGAGAUAAUUUUAUUAGAAGUCAAAUAAAAAUCACUACCACAAAUAUUUACUAAGGAAAAAAAGUAAUAAUCAAAUCAAAUAAUUAAAAGUAAAUUAAAGAUCAAGUAAAGAACAAGAACAAGAAAAAAAAAGCUAUAACCAAAAAAAAAUUGAAAAAGAAAACCCUAGAAUCCAGAAGAAGAAGACAGACGUACUCUUUGUGUUUGCUUCUUCUUCUGAUCUUUUCGUUGACUCCAAAAGAUAAAUAAAUGAAAAUGAAAUCAAUGGUUUCGAGUUAAAUUGGGUUCUCUCUCUAUCUUUCUCUCUAAUAUGACUUUAAGGGGGUGAAGAAAUAUAGUGGCUUGAGAGAGAUUUUUUCGAUGAUAGAGAUGAAGAUCACAUAUCAGAGAAGAGUAAAGGGGCCCAUGAAUGGUGUGGUUCGGGUCAUGUGAGAGCUUCUUGUCCUUUUCAAUUAGCUAUAGACUUGGGGUAACUCUAGCUAUUUAUAUAGAUAUACAUAUGUAUACAUACAUGUAUUGUGUCAAUGUUUUGUGAGAGUAUUUCCUUUUCUUUUGAUAUCUGUAUUUUUAUUUCAUCUUUAUUCAUACCAGAUCUUUUGUAUUUAUUGUUUUUUGUUUGUUAGUUUCUUCUAACUAGUUAUUUUUAGCUAAUUAUAUUAAAUCAUCAUAUAUUAUAACUAAUCUGUGUUUCACAAAAAAUAGAAAACAAUACAAAAUACAAUAUUAAGGUUUAAAUUAACUAGAUAUGGCUCCACGCAUAUGCUUACGCGUGGAUAUAAUUAAUUUUAGUAUCUAUAUAUGUGUACCAAAAAAUGUAAAAAGACCAUGAACACAUUUUAAAAAUAGAUUACAAGAUGGACACUAGAUCAACUAAAUAUUUUUUUAAUCUAUACAUGUAUGAAAAUCAUUUAAACUUUUUAUAUUAGAUUUCUAGAUAUACAUUAGACCAGAUAUAUUAUGUUUAAGGAAAUCAGUAAAAUAAAUAUCUUUAAAAUAUUAUUAAAUAUGAGAAAAAUAUUUGGAAAUAUUAAUUUAAGUAAAUUUUUAAUCAAAUAUUUUUAUUUCCUCUUUUUAAAUAUAGAAACACUAAAAUCUUUUUUUUAUGUCAAAUUAUAAUAAGACACUGUAAAGAAUACCUUAAUAUUUGUUUUUUAAGAAUGCUAAAAAAAAUUUAUCAAUUCAAAAUACGAAAGUAAAAUUCUUAAACUUUUCAGAAAUGGUCUUAAAUCAAUGCUGAAAAAGGUUCAAAAAUUUUUUUCACAAUGCUUAAUAAAUUAGUAUUUUAUAAAUCCUUAUAACUGUGAUAAAUUUAAAUUAUAAAUCUUAAAUAUUUUAAAGACUUUUUCAAUUACAUAUUAGUAAAUAUUUUUCAGGUGAUAACUAUAUUUUUUCUGAUGACAAAAAAAAAAACUAUAUUUUUUUGUCUUCAGGCUAUAAGCAAUAAAGUCUUCUAGAUAUUUUAAAUAGUACUAUUUAUUUAUUGUUGGUAAUUGGUUUAGUAUCUCAAAUUUGAACAAGUGGAUUUCAACCUAAUAUCUCAAUUAAAAGUUUAAAACUAUAUCUGUAUACUUGGCUUAAUUUGUCAAAAUGUAAACACCUGUAACCUUUUUUUGUCCCACCUGUAACUUAUACAGAUUUUCUUUUCAUAUCAUCUUAAUUAGUUAACUCAUAUGGUUAUGAAAAAAUGUAUUCUUCUGACUUUUUUUCCGUAAUUAGAUUUCACCUGUCAGAACUUAGCAAAUCACAGGGAUUGUCAUUCAUGCCUGACAAAAUUGAGAGAAAAUUAGGUAAUCUUUAUGUAGGAAAAUCUUAACAAAUUUUUGUCCAAUUUGUCUGAUUAUGAUUAUUACAAAACUUAAGUUGAAAGUAGCUCUGGUUUUCUAUGUGUGUCCAUGUUUUGUAGUACCCAACAUUAUUUGCAUCAACAUCAAAGAACAAUAAGGCAUUUUGAAUUUAAAAGGUAUAUAUUAUAUAUACCAAUCAAUCCGUAUAUGACUUUUUUUAUUUUAAUAAAUCCAGGAAUGCAUGUUAAGAGCAAAUAUUUUCUACUUAUGUAUACUUAGCCCUUAACUCUCAUUCUAACACAUAUUUAUAAAAUAUUAGUAAUAUUAUAAAACACUAAUCAAACGAAUAUUUACGGGUUGGGUGAUAAAGCGGAUAACAAGUUGGGUAAUGAGACGGAGAUUAUUUUUUUCCUUAAUACCUGAUACUCGACCCUUAUCCAAAGAUAAUAGAAUUAUAAUACCUUUGACUCGACCCUAACCCUAAGAUUACGAAUAUCCUUGUUUGAGACAAAUACAAAUCGAGUAAUAUGUCGAAUAUGGGUAAUGGAUAUCAAUACCCAGCCCUAGUAAAUUUUACUAUUUCAACACGGUCGGACACAGAAAACACCACAUAGUAAAAUAAUUUAUAUGCAAACAAUUUUUCUUUUUUUUAUUGACAUGUAAACAAAGGCUAAUAACCGAAAGUUAAAUUGACAACAAUUAAAAUUAAAUUUCUUGAAACUAUAUGUUGCAUAUGUUAUGAUAUUUUUUUGUAAAUGGAUACUUUCAUUUUGGAAUAUAAAAUUAAAUCAUUAUCAUGAGGUUACGAAAAAAUAACUUUCACACAUAAAUUAUCAAUAAAUGUGCAGGUAAAGGGAAAAGAUCGGAUAUCUAACGGGUCAACUAGCUAUAUUUAUCGGAUAUCCAUUUUUCCAGGUCCUCGUUAUUUGAGGGUCGAGUAAGAGUAAUUUUUUAAUUAUUCGUAAGAAUGGGUGAAAGUAAAGAGUAUUUUAAAAUUCAAGGAUACCCGUUCCGUGCCUACUUCUAUAACUUACCGUGACACACAUUAAUUUGUUUGGUAUGAUAUAGUUAAGUAAUAAUAUUCAAAAUUUGAAAAUCUAGUUUUUCUAAACUGUUGAAAUGUGAGGAAAUAGACAUGUUUUGCUGAAUUUCGUUAAUUUGUUUUAUAUACUCAUAUUUUCGUUCUUAUAAGUUUUGGUCCGGAUACUUUACAUGGUGUCUUUGUACCCAAAACUAACUUGCAUACUCUGAAAUUAGUCUUAGGAAUAAGAAUUACUCGAGUUGUAUGAAAAAAUUGUCCUAGGAAUUAAUAAGUACGGAAAUAUAAUUUAGAUUUUAGCCUUUCCAUGAUUUAAUUUCCUGGUUAAUAAGUACCUAAAAGUGAUAAAAGUAGCACCUCCCGUUUUAUGAAAAUACAUAUCUAGCCUACACCUUUAAAUUCUCUAAUUGUUCUAGAAAGUAGAAACUAAUCAUCUUCAACACAUCUUAUGUAAUAUACUAAUAUACUAUAGAACGUUUACGAAAUGAUAACAUGAUAAAAAUAUAUCAACAAACGAUUAGGGUAAGGACCAGUGGACCACCGCGUCCAUGUAGAGUUUGUCGCAAAAGAGCCUCCCACGCUUUUCCUUCACACAUUUUUCCUUUUUAAUAUAUUAUCUAUUAACUUUCUUCAACUUGGAGGUAUAUUGUUUUUGGUUUUUUGGGGGAUUUUCGACCUUUUCUAUACCCAUCGAAAAAAGUUAGGGGAUUAAUUUGGUCCCCGUUAGGAAACAAGCAAUGCUUUAUGAAAUUUUGUAGUACGUAUGAUAAGAAAAAUGCUAUAAUUCUGUUGUGUAUUUAUUAAGAUGUAGACACUUGCGGGAAAAUAGCUAUUCUAUCAUUCUAUGGUAUAUACGAAAGUAGCCGGUCCAGUUUCAUUCUGGGAACCAAGAAAUAACCGAAACAUUAAGAAUUAAUGUAACCGUAGACCGUAGUCAAUGUUAGAUUAAACUUGAAAUGUGUGCGUAUGGGUGUGCAUAAUAUAUAGUAUUAAUGUAUGGAGAAUGGGUCUUAUCAUCUUAGGAGCAAAUAUAGUCCAGUUGCAUGGAAUAUAGGGUUCUGCAAAAUUUCUGUAAUAUCCGUUUUACUCUGUUAUUAAUUUUACAUGUAAUAGUAAAUGUAGUAUUUUUUAAUGAGACGUUAUAUAGCUUUUUUUUGUAAUAAUAUAUACUUUAAAGUAGAAUAGUCACAAUGUAAAACAUUUAAAAUUACAAACGGAAUAAUUAAAGGGAUUGUAAUAAAACUUUUGAGUAUUGAGGAAUCCUUUGUUUUGUGAGAAUUUGUUGGCUUCUUCCGGUCUUUUUCUUUUCCCCGAUCUCAAUUGACAUUUUUAAAUUUAAAUUUCGAGAGUUUUGCUUUUCUCAUCCAAUUGAAAGCUCCAAAGUUUAGUUUUGUACCAUUGAGCGAUUCUGAAACUUUCAUGUUAUCUCUUUCGAAACAUACUUUUGUGUAUUGUUUACACCAACAACUUUACAUAGAAAUGAUGAGAGCUUGAAACUCACUCUCAAGAAUUAUAUGUAGGUCUUCCUUCUGCUUGUCUCGAACCUAAAUAUAUAUUUGAUCAUCUCGUGCAACCCAUCAUGCAUUUGAGCGGAGCUCGUUGACAAAAAAGAGCCAUCAUAAUUACAUUUGAUCUAUCAUGCAGUUGGUUUGAUCCAUUAAAUUUGCUGCAACUGUGGCAUGUAGGUGUAAUAGAGUGUGAAUUUGAAGAAACAUAAGCAUUAGUAUACUCUGCUAUUUCUAUCCACUCCUUUGCAAUUUUUUGCUUCAAUAAAAUUGGUUCUCCCUUGUUAUGUGUAUAUAAAUAUGUGUAUUUUUAGUCAUAUAUAUUUUCUGUUUUAUAAUAAGUAAUGUGUUAGCCAAAAAUUUUAAGUAUUUUCACAACUACCCUGACAGUAAAUGCUUAAUCAUAUACUUUUGUUUUGAAAAUUAAUAUAAUGUAGGGGUAUAAUAGAUAAUAUACAGUUUAUUUUAAUUUGGUUACAAAAAUUUAAACAUCAAUUAUUAUAAAACAGAUGAAGUGUAAAGUAUUAAGCUUGUAUUUAGAACUAAAGAAAAAAUAAUAUGGGUUUUGGUAAAAUAUACUCCAUCUGUUUCAUAAUAUAAGUCGUUUUGGAUAAACCUUUUUUUUUCACAAUAUAAAUCGUUUUCAAGUUUCUAUGCAAAUUAUAUAUUAUUUUCAUUAUAGUUAUUUAUAUUAUAUGGUUUCUUUUAUGAUUGGAUGUACUUUUUAAUAGUAUAUAUUCUUAAUAUGCGUGUUUUUAGCUAAAACGACUUAUAUUAUGAAACGGAUGGAGUAUUAAGGGGGUGUUAUUGGUUGUAUAAGUUGAAGUCAAUUCCAUUAGAAUUAAAGUUUUUUAGAUUUUAAAACAUUUGGGCUCAUUGAAAGUGAAUCAUUAUUCAUUUUAUCAAAUAUGUGGAAGUGUAUUAUCAUUGAUACAUGAUUUCAUUUGGUUUUCUGUAACAUAACUGAAUUCUAUAACAAAUGAUUCUUAUAAUCUAAUAGAAAUCUGGCCAAACUUUUGUCCAUCUUUUUUUCUUUCUUAUUUCAUGAUUUUCUACUGAUUUUUAAAGUUUUUUUUAUAAAAUCUCAGUUACUAGCUAUGAGUAUAAUGUCUUUAGUAAAAAAAUUGAAAAAAAUGAUGAAGAGAGAUAUGCUAUAAUCACCGUAUGUAUAUUCUUAUAAGUAGAUGUGAAAAGAGGAAAAAAAUAGGGUUUUGGUUAUUCUCAUAUGAUUGUGAAAAUCUCAGGGUAGAAGGUAAGAUUUUGAUUGCUAUAAUUUACACAUGAAAUCAGUUUCACAUUCAUUCAAAUCUGUUCAAAUCAAAUCACUUGUGAAAAUAUAUGAAACAUGAAUAACAUAGAACUUUAAUUGAUUAUUAUAAAUAGAACCAAUAACACUAGAUUUCAAACUCUUUUAAUAUAGACAUUAUAAAUAUGAGAACGAAUAAUACUUGAUUUUAAACUCGUCUAAUGAAGAUAUUAUAAAUAUAAGAACCAAUAACACUUGAUUUGAAUAAAGUAGUUAAAAUCCACUAACCAAUAACAUUAGAUUUGGGUUAGAGUUAGACUCUAUUAAAAUCCAUUAACCAAUAACACCACUUUAGAUUAAUAAAAAAAAAAUUUAUUGAAAAGGAGAUUGACAUACACGCGCCAUAUUACUGAUAUUGAUAUUUGCUGGGCCAGGCCCAUUUUGGGUGAGCAGCAGAUCCAACUAUCUGACAAAAGAAGAAAAAAAAGUUCUCCACCACCUGACAUUUUCUCAUUCUGAUUCUGCAAAUCUAAUUGGGAUUUGGAUUUCAGAGGAAAACAAUGGCGACUAUUCUAAAAUGAUAGUGACACUUGAUUAUUAAAAAAUAAGUCUGGUUUCAUUGGAACCAAAUCGAAGCUUGAAAUUAUUAUUAAAAAAAAGAUCCAAAGACAUUGUUACAAAUACAAGUGAGAAAACUCUCAAUGUUCAGACAAAACAUCCCCAGAAGAAAACAACAACAACAACAACAAAAGAAAUCGUUAAAGCCAAAUAUGAGACACGUGCUUAUUUCAAAAAUCCAAAUAUCAGACAAGUUCUUGUUCUUUUGCAUAUUCACUGCAACAAAAUCUGAGACUGCAGAGCAAAAAUUGGCAGGAAUGUUCUUGAAGAAGUCCUUUUUUUAUCUAUCUCCUUAGGGUGUGAAGAAUGUACUCAGCGUACAGGUCCCUGUGAAUGAUUUCAAAAAUCAAGAUUUGCUUAAAAGAUUUUUUAAAAAAAGGGAAUGUUGAAGAAAAUAAAAUAAAAGGUUUACAUUGAGUAUUGAAUGGCUUCAAUAGCAGGACCAGGUUGUAGAAAAUCAUUCACUGCAACUUCUUUGUUCUCAUUCUUCUUGUCUGUAUUUUGGUUAAAGAUAACAAAAAAUGGUUUUGUUUCCUAAUCAAGAAUUAAGAUUGAUGAUUAAAGUAGUUUUAAGGAUACAAUCUUCAAAGAAUCGACGGAUUUCAGAGAGACGAUGAGGAGGAAGUUCAUUGAUGUUAGUGAUAUGCUUAUACUCAGGAUCAUCAACACAAACUGCAAUGAUCUUGUCAUCUUUUUCACCCUUUAUUUCAACACAAAACCACAAGAAUUAGCUACAAUGUUUACACAAACUUGAAGCACAAGGAAACAUGAAAAGUAAAAGCUUUGGAUGUUACCUGGUCAAUCAUAGGCAUUAAACCAAUAGCUCGAGCGCGAAGAAAGCAACCCGGAAGCACAGGCUCCUGUACAGAAACAACUUUGAUAAGAAUUGUUUAAGCCAUUUGAUUUUUUUUAUGGUGAAUGUUAGAUUAGAACUCAAACCUGCAUGAUAACUAAAACAUCUAUAGGGUCAUUGUCUUCACACAGUGUCCGGGGGACAAAACCGUAGUUAUGAGGAUACACAACCGACGAAUACAGAAUCCGAUCAACCUGAGAUAUUCAAACACUUAAGUUCAUUAUAUAUUUGAAUUCAGAUCAUUCUGUUUUUUUCCAAGAUUUGAUAUAGUUUUACCUUGAUGAGUCCUGUUUUUUUGUCAAGUUCAUAUUUGACUUUGCUCCCCUUUGAGAUCUCAAUAACCUGAUUUCAUCCAAAAAGACAAAUGAUUAACUCUUUUUCUAAUCUUCUCAUUACCAAAACCCGCAUCGGAUUGUCACAUCAUCAAGCAAUAAGACAUUACCACAUUGAAAAUCACUGGAGCUCCAGGUCCUGAACACAGAGAAUAACUUAGUUAAAAAGACUCUAAUCUAUAGGACUCAAAACACACACAAUACCUUUAACAGUGAUUAUUACCAAUUUCAAGAUCAUGCCAUGGAUGUGCAGCAACCGAUCUCUUAGACAAAGAUGAAAGAAUCCUCUCGUUUAAACGUGGAGUAGGGUUCUGAAGCUUCUUCUGAGAUUGAUUCGUUUUCACUUCUUCUUGUCCAUUCAUCUAAUAAACAGAGCAAAACAGAACCAAAGGAAAGAAUCUUGUUAAUCAAUUUUCAUGACUUCCACGUCCAAAUCAAGAUAGAAUCUUUAACUAGUGAUACUGAUAAUACGAUCAAUCACUCAAAGAUUCAACAUCUACAUCAGAUUCUACUACGACUAAAAUCAACAAAAACCCAUCAAGAUAAUUCAGUUUAUCACUAACGAUUCAAGACUAACAAUCUGUAUCGUUCAUUUAUCGAUAAAUCUUCCGUUUGAUGCGAAAUCCGGAGGAUCAAACAUCGAUACACAACAAAAAUUUGAGAUCAAUAACUUAAAAAAAAAAAAAAAAAGUCGUACCUUAGAAUCGUUUCGAGAACAGAACAGAACAAUCUUGCGGGAAGUAUGGAGAAAGAAAAGUGACAAGAGGAAGAGAAAACAGUAAAGCGCGUGAUCUUCAAUUGCUAGCCAUAAUCGUAUUUAUAGAAACCGAGAAAAACGGAUUAAGCUUUAAUUAAUUCGUAAUUAAGUUAUUAAUUAAAUAUGAUAUAAUAAUCACCGUUCGAUCUCUUAUAACCUAGGGCCCACCGUAAAACACUAAUCUCAGUCUCUUGAACGAUUCUCCUACACACAUUUGGCACUAACGCUUUAACUAUUUAAUCUUAGUGAGAACAAAAAAUUAAAGAAGAAGCAAGAAACCAAAAUUUUUUUGUACAAUGGCUAUCAACAGAAUUGCGAUUGGAACGCCAGGAGAAGCUAGUCGUCCCGAUGCGAUUAGAGCGGCUUUCGCGGAGUUUUUCUCCAUGGUUAUAUUCGUUUUCGCGGGUCAAGGCUCUGGAAUGGCUUACGGAAAACUAACUGGAGAUGGUCCAGCCACACCUUCCGGGCUCGUGGCCGCGUCUCUGUCUCAUGCGUUUGCGUUGUUUGUGGCGGUUUCCGUUGGUGCAAACGUCUCAGGCGGCCACGUGAAUCCCGCUGUUACAUUCGGAGCUUUUAUAGGUGGUAACAUUACAUUGUUGAGAGCUGUUCUAUAUUGGAUAGCUCAAUUACUCGGAGCAGUCGUAGCUUGCUUGUUGCUCAAGGUAAGCACAGGCGGGAUGGAAACAGCAGCGUUUUCGCUCUCCCAUGGAGUGACACCGUGGAAUGCAGUCGUAUUCGAGAUUGUGAUGACGUUUGGGUUAGUUUACACGGUUUACGCUACUGCCGUGGAUCCCAAGAAAGGUGAUAUUGGAAUCGUUGCUCCUUUAGCGAUUGGGUUAAUCGUUGGAGCUAACAUUCUGGUUGGUGGUGCGUUCGAUGGUGCAUCGAUGAACCCUGCGGUUUCCUUUGGUCCGGCCGUGGUUAGCUGGACUUGGACGAAUCAUUGGGUCUACUGGGUUGGUCCUUUUAUCGGUGCAGCCAUUGCAGCUACUGUUUAUGAUACUAUCUUUAUCGGUAGUAAUGGGCAUGAACCACUUCCUUCUAAUGAUUUCUAAGUUAGGGCUUUUUCUUGUGUCUUGUGAAACAAGAAAUCUACUGUUGUACCCUACUAAGGGGCAGCAUUUUGAGGGAGAUUAAUUGAUGUUACUUAUCCUCUCAUGUGUUUUUAAUGUUUUUUUUUUAGUCGUGUGGCUACGAUGUUAAUUUUUACUUAUGUUGUUUUUAAGUUAUUAAUAAAUCGAUCGUUGGAAAUUUUACAUUAAUUUAAAUCAGAUUAAAUUAUCAUGUGGGGUUUACGUAGUAUUCUGUCACACGUAAGGGUUUCAUGUACAAACGAAUUUGAUUGGAGGCAUAUUCUUGAGUAUGCUUCCAUUGUGAAAAUAUAUCAAAUAAUGGGACCCGCCAUUACCAAUACUAUAUAACUAACUAUAUAUAUAAUAUAUGGUUGGUUGGUCCAUGCACGUUCUUUUUUUUUUUUUGGCCCAAGCACGUUCUAAUAUGUGAAUCUUAGCUAAUUAUUUUUUAGUCGAUUUAAGUAUAUUUAACACACAAAAAAAGGAAUUCAAUAAACGGUACUUCGGUGCCCCGGUUUUUGCUCCAAACGCGUUUCGCAGUUUCUUGCACGUUCAAGCAAAGUGUGAUGACGAGACUUGAUGAUACUCACGAUGUAUAUUCCUCAAUAAUUAUGAUUAGUAAUUUAGUAUUAUAAGUUUAUAACUCAUCGUAUGUUUUUACCACACUAUAUCACAUGGAAAACUAAACAUUUUAUGUAUGAAAUAUUAUAAAUUACAUGACAUUUGCAGAUAUCAUCGAUUUAGUAGAAUUCCUUAAUUCGCUCGAUGAUAUUUUAUCUACACUAAUUGUGCUACGUUCACCGAUUCUCUAAUAAAAAGUUAAUUGUGCUACGUUGACCAAUUCUCUAUUCAAAAACAUCUACAAACUCUUUACAAUUAUCAAAUAUUCUUCAAAAAAUAAAAAAUAAAAAAUCAUCAAAGUAACACAUUCCUCGACUUAUAAAAAUUAAUAUAAAAUCAAAACUUUCGAAAUUUGAAUCAAACCCCCGAGUUCGUUCUUUUUUUUGUUCAAUCAAGCACCAUAUAUUAAUUCACGGUAAAUGACUCUCUUCUAGAGAGAGCUAAUCAGGAACCGUAGAACUUAUAUGGAAAAAACAUAACCCAUGAUCUUUUGCACAUUUCGCAAAAUGAUCAGCGGAAGUAUUACCACUACGAGGGAUAUGCUGCAAACUAAACGAUGAAAACAAAUCUUUGUAAUAAGCAAAAUCCACCAACUCUGUAGAAAACGUGGGCCACUCCUCCGGUUUUGAGACCAUCUCUAAAAGAUCCGUGCAAUCCGUCAAAAUUAGUAUUCUCGUCAUCGAAAUCGCCACUAAGCACUGCAUCGUCCACAAAAGAGUCUCCAGUUCCGCAUGAAAGAAAAGACUUCUACGCGAACUUUUUAAUCCUAAGUGUAAAAUUUAUCCUCCACAAUAAACAAUCCAUCCAUGCCUACUCUUCAUUUCCGCCCCAUGCCAGGAUCCAUCUAUAUACUAAACCGGUCUAUCCUCGAAAAUUGUCGUUAUUUGCAGGCUAUGGUCCAUCGCGGCCUGGGGUUCUUCUUGGGUAUUUGCUCGCCUCCACGCCUCUUCCUCUUGAAUUGCUAGGUCUAGAGUUUCUUAAGGUGGUACACACAAAUUCUCAAAAAUCUUUCGAUUGCGCGCCUUCCAUAUAUAUCACAUGAUCCAUGAAAAUAAACUUAGGCCCUCUUCAUCCGCACCCACCUCUUUACCCCGCCAAUACAGAUAAUCUAAGUUAUUGUAUAGAGAAGGUGAGAGAAAUAAGGAUGGAGAUGAUGGAACAUUGGAAAGGGCCCAGACUUGUCUAGAAGGAGGGCAUUCGAAGAUCAAGUGAUUAAUCGUGUCUUCUGCUGCACCACAUCUUGAACAUCCUUUAUAUCUACCAAUAUGGCGAUAAACCAGUCGUUGACACGAGGCCAAACAAUCUGUCACACAUUGCCACACGAAAUGUUUUGAUUUUCGCGUAGUUUUUAAUUUCCAAGCUUUCACGCUUCUCUUCUUCCGUCUCUUUCUCCUUCAUCGGCGACUUCUUCUUCUUCUUCUAGAUUUUUCGAAACCUUAACCCUAAAUCUCUUCUUCCUCUUCUAACCAUCAACGAAACCUCUUUUUCUCCAUGGAUCUUUCUUCCCUCUCUUCGAUCUUCUCAUUCUAGAUCCAUAGAUCUUCGUUCUUCUCACAGAUCUGAGAUUAACAACAAUCCCGAUCUAGAUUUCUCCCAAAUCGGCUUUGUAGUGACGGAGAAGAAUCGGCGGUGGAGGAGAAUCGGCGGUGGAAGAGAAUCGGCGGUGGAGGAGAAUCGACGGUGGAGGAGGAUCGACGGUGGAGGAGAAUCGGCGGUGGUGGAGAAUCAGCGGCGACGUCAAUGAACAAAGCAAAGAAGAAACGAAUUAGUGAGUGUGACGGCGCUAGGGUUUAAAAUUAUAAUUUUUUAAAAUUUUACCAUUUGUACCAGUUGUUCUUGUAUGUGUUGUACUAGUUGUCCAUGUAUCAGUUGUACCAUUUGUAUUCAUUGUACUAUUGAUAUAUUUGUACCAGUUGUCCCUAUUAAUAUGUCAGUUGUACCUGCUACCCACCAUGGCAGAUUUGACUAGCCAAAAAAGCAGGGGAGGGGGCAGGAGGGCAAAGGGUUAGAGGGGAGAGUCAAGUCAAAGCAUCGGUUAUCUCCCCUUUUUUUUAUUAAAAAAUCGUGAUUCAUCUAAAAUUCCCGGGGUUUUGUGAAUGAAUUCAACUAGAAAACUUCUGUCGUCCCGUUCAUUGGGCUUAUAUCUUUUAAAGAUUGUAGAAGGGCUUUUAUCUUGAGCCCAAAAUGAAAAAUGAGUUUUUUUUUUCCUCUAGAGAAAUGAAUAAUUUACAUAUUAACUCAAUAAUAAUUAUUUAAUUUAUUUGAAAAUUUGACUGUAAAAGUGACCAAAUGGUUUGACUUUGACCAAAAGUUGGAAAAGAUCAGAGUGUUACCCAGUCGAUUAUCUCUGACGUAUGAUCUUGUCGUUCACUCUUACACACAAUAUUGAAUAUUCAAAUAAAAAUAUACAUCAUUGCUGUCUGAAUAAUAUGUUUUUAUUGAUAUUAUAUUGCAGAAUUGAAGUAUAUCAUCGGAUUCGUUGUAUCUGAUUUUAGUUUUUCCGAUUUUAUAAGUUCUUAAUUCAAAAUUGAAAAGUUAGAAGGUAUUAAAAAUUAUUCGUAAACCCAUGUAUGAAUUAAAAUUUUGAAAAAAGUAAUGUGAAAUAGGCUUAAGUGAGACGGAUGCGUCAAUGAGACUCUGACCAUAGACUUCCUUUUACGAUGUUUUUUUUAUCUUUGGAAUAUUAAUUUUUCUCUGCCACCUUUCUCAUCGUUUUUCUAAGUUAAUAUAAAAAGUAAAACUAGUGUCAUUAUACAAUAAAGUACUGUAUUUUUAGUCUCUAGACGUUGAUGCAAAAAAAAUCUUUAAAUUUAUAUUGUAGGCUUGUAGCUGUCACUUUUCACCAAGCGUAAAUUUGUCAGACGCAUGUAAUAUGGAAAAUAAAAUCUUAUUAAUAAGAGAAUGCGAAAUAUGAAGACGACGUUUUUUCUUUGUAAUGAUGUUCAGCUUUAAUUGUAUUUGUUUCCAUUUCCGUAACAAUUCUAAUACGGACGUCUAAAGUCAGGUUCUUAAUGGGAAACAUUUAAAUAGAUGGGAAUAAAUAUUUACUCAUGGUUUAUUUUUAUUUUUUUCUGGGGUGAAAACUGAAUUCAUGGACGUCUAAAGUUAGUAUCUCUUCAAAAUUUACAGGCAAUAAUAACCUUCAUGUGGCAUUGUAGAACACUGCAAGUCUGCGACUACUCUAAAAUCUAAAAAGUUUAAAAAAAAAAAAAAAAAAAACUCUCCCAAACUUUCACCUCUUUAGUUAUUCUUCUUAGGGUUACACACAUAACUUGGAGUCAAAAGUCAACUAAGUUCGACUAAGAUUUGACCACAUCACUUCACCGUUGAUUUGCUCGAAGAUCUGAUGGACGGUUGUCGCUAUCUCAUCUGCUGAUCCUAAUUUACAACCAUCUUCUAUCUGCAUGCAACACCAUUCAUUUCUCAUCUCUUCAAAAUAAUUAUAACAAAAAUUAGCAACUAAAAUAAAAGAAAGUUUUCUAAGUCGUAGGGUGAAGUAAAAAGGCAUAUAUAUAAUAUAUAUAUAUAUAUAUAUAUAUUUAUAGAUAUCUUCUAUUAUGGUUUCUCAUGCAUUUUAGAUUUCUUAACCAAACAUUUCAAAAAACAGAUUCCUUAAUUUUCCUCAAAAAGCCAAAAAUUGCUAUUUACACAAGAAUACUUAUAAUAAAAAUGCUUAAACUAGUGGAAUUUAAAACUGUUAGUUUAAGAUAUGAUUAGAGAGUGAAGAUUUUUUAUUACCUUGAGAUUAAAAGAGUAGAUGACAAAGUCAAAAGAAGAAGAGAUAGUGAGAUGUAGAAUCCCAAGCUUUAGUUCUUCAAUCGAGACGAUAGCUUUCAAGAUCUGUCCUUUUCCUCUCUUACACCGAACUUUUAAGCUCACAUGGUUCUGUAUCACCGUAGCUUCCACUUCCGCCGUCUCUCCGCCGCCGAAUCUCGCCGUAAAUCCAUCUUCCGACGUCGUAGAGACGCUAGAAACAGAAGAGUUAGUGCAUGCACGAGACGAAGAUGAAGAACACGACGCCGUUUUAGGAGUUUCAUUAGUUCCAUCGUUACGUUUCUCAGCUUCUAGAGAUUGCAAGAGUUGCUCCAGUUCCUUGAUGAAAUCUAUUGCGCCUCCUACAAUCGAAGCUUGAUCACCCUAAAGAAACAAACACGUUUUCGUGUUAAGCUAAAUUACGUUCUUGGAAAAAAAAAAUAUAUAUAUACGUUCUUGAGAGAAAGAGUUAAAAACUUUGAUUAAAGCAAUUUAUUACCCGUUGAAUAUACGAAGGAGGCAUAAGAGAUCGGAGAGAGGUUAAGUGUUCGUUCAUUUGUUGUCGUCGAUUACGUUCGACGGCAAUGUGAGUCAUCCUUUGUUUUUCAACUUCGUCUUUGUUCUUUGGAGCUCUUGUACGUUUCCGUUUUCUCUUUUCUUUGACCGUUGCUGCUCCGGUUUCUGUUCUUGGAUCCUUUUCCGGGUCAUCCGUUUGACCCGGAUCUCUUUUGAUGGUGGUUUCAAGGGUGAGACAGCUAUUUGAUUCUAGGGUUUGGAUCCGGAGAAGUGAUUGAAGAAACUGAUUUGGUUCUGUUGUUGUAUAAGGGUGUUCUAUGCAUUGAAGCAUUUGCAGAAAUGGGAUCUUCUCUUCAAUUGUAGUUUCUGAAAUCUGACCAAAUUGUUCUCCUAGUUCACCAAAUCUCAUUAAUCCACCCAUAAUUAGCUUCAACACGGAAGAAAAAUAGAGAGAGAUUAGUUUUUGGUUACUCUUUUGAAAAAAAUGAAACUGAAAGUGGGUUUGAAGAAAUUAAUGGUUUGGUCAUUGGUGGGUGAAUUCUUAAAACAGAACAAAGAGUAUGUACGAGGAGAUAACAUUAAAUUUUGAGAGAUAAGGAAUGUCGCAGAGAGAGGAAACAAGAAAAGUAGCAGAACUUAGAUAAGUUUUUGUAAAAUGAAUUUAAAAGAAUUUUGCAUUGAAUGUUAAUCAUAUGAAAGGAGGAAGAAGAAGAAGAGUAAAUGCAGAAAACAGAAAACAGUACUCUAUUCGAUUUUUUUUUUUUUGAAAUCAGAAAAAAGUACAAGAGUGCUUACAUGAGAAUCAAAUUGAAGCUUUAAGAGUCUCUCCAAUGGAACUUUUUCUGAAGUAAUAUUUUUAUAACUUGGAGUUUAUAUAUAUAGGAGGUUCCCUCAGAUAGUCUUCAAAUUAACAAUUUCUUCUUCUUCUUCUCUCUCCUCUCAACAAAAAACAUUCCUUUAGGGGUUGACACUUUCUAAACUAGUGUUCCUAAUAAAUGCAGCUUUCCACAUAUAUAAAAGGAGAGAAGAAAAGGAAGAGAAGAAGAAGAGGAAUUCGGUGAUUUGUAUAAAAAAAACAAGUGUGAAAAAAGACUAACCAUCUAAAGAGUCGAGUACUGUCGUCUAUAUUUUCUACGCACACAUACAGUAAUAUAUAUGACUUAAAUCGCGUAUAUAUGUUUUUUUUAUAUAUAAUAUUUUUUUAAAAAAAAAUCUUUUUAUUAAAGAAUCAGUUAAGCCGGGACAUUAUAUAUUUUAAUACGGGAACAGAUAACCUUUUUAUUAAAUAAAUAUUUAAUACGGGACAGAUAACCUUUUUAUUUUAUAUUAUUUUAUUUUAUUUUGUUGUCAACAGCUUAAAUUAAACGUUCAAAAGAGCCAAUUUUGCGGAAUGUUGUUUACAUAAGUGAUGUGAAGUGGUUCGGUACGAACUUGUCGAGCCAAUUUAUCCGCUUUUACAUUUGCGUUACGAGGAAUUAAAGAUAAAGAAAAACUUGAAAAUUCUUCCCUGUCACUCUGAAGGUCCUCCAGGUACACUGAAAAAGCCGGCCAUUCGGUUGGAGAAGACACCAUUUUCACCAAAUCUGAACAGUCUAUAAAGAAAGCUACAUCUUGGUUGUCAGCACCAAUCAUAGACUUCAUCGCCCAAAGAAGAGCUUCGACUUCUGUAUGUAGAGGAGAUAGACUUCUACGGAUGUUGGCAGCUCCCAUAGUUGGCAUCUCUCCAUUUGAUGAUGUACAAAACCAUCAUGUUCCUGAAAAAGUAUCGGUUCCUUUCCAUGAUCCAUCUAUGAAACAACGAUAUCCUGAAUAGUUAGAAUCCAGUGAGAUUUCCCUCACUCGAUUUUGAUUUUCAUUAUCGAAAAAAUCAUGGUUAUCAGUAUGAAGCUCAAUUUGAGCUAACUGCCACGAUUGCGCCUCUUUCUCCGCAAAGCGUAAGAUGUCUAAUGGAUCUCUAUCCACAUUGUCAAAGAUCUUUUCAUUCCUUUCUUUCCAAAUGUACCAAAUUAUCCAUGGAUAAGAAGAUGAAUCUACCUCUGAAGGUAUUCUCCAAAAUAGGUGAUCCAAAUUCUCGUAAAUAGAAGCCGUAGGAAAAAUUCCGGGGACCGAAGGAAUUUGAGAAAGAGCCCAAAUUUGUCUCGCUGGAUGACAUUCAAAAAAUGUAUGGUUAAUUGUUUCCUCUAUGGCGCCACAUUUAACACAUCCAGUAUCACAAUUUAUACCUCUCUUUCGCAGAUUCUCUGUAACCGGUACACAACCUGAUAAAAUUUGCCACAGAAAAUGUCGUACCUUAGGUGGACACUGCACCUUCCAAGCAUAUGCUUUUAAAGGUUUUAUAUCCGGGCCAAAAGAUUUUGAACUGGCAUCCAAAUCCUCUAUCCGAGCCGUAUGGUAACCAGAUUUAACUGUAUAUUUUCCAGAUUUAGUGUAAUGCCAACCAAGGAUAUCCUCUGUAGUUGACGCACCCAAAGGCAAGGCACUAAUCAGCGCGACAUCUUCUGGAUCAAAGAGCUCCCUUAAUAGAUCCAUAUUCCAAAAAUUUGACCGGCUGUCGACAAGGCUAUUAACUUUUAAAGAUGCGUCAAUAAUUGAACCAUUACUUUUUGCUGGUCUCGAGAAUUGAGCUGGUAUCCAUGGAUCCUCCCAAACUAAGAUGGAUGCCCCAGAACCCACUCUUUAAUAAGUUCUUUAAUAACCAGAGAUCUAGCUGACAAUAUACUUCUCCAACCAUAAGAAGGAGAGUAUGAUUUUAUAUUAUCCAAUGGAUUGGAUUUUCGAAAAUACCGUCCUUUAAAAACCCUUGCAAAAAAUGAAUCAGGAACCGUAAUCAAAAGCCAUAAUUGUUUUGCUAGUAAUGCCGAAUUAAAAUCAUCUACAUUCCGAAAUCCUACACCUCCUUCUGAUUUACUACUACAUAGCUUAUUCCAAGCCAUCCAGUGCAUUCCUAUCGACUCGCCGUUAGAACUCCAGCAAAACUUAGCAACCGCACUUGUAAGUUUAGAAGUAAUUGUUUUUGGUAACCUAAAGCAAGACAUAACAUAUGUUGGUAGCGCCGCAGCUACCGAUUUAAUCAUUACUUCUUUCCCACCUUUUGAUAAAAUUUGGGCUGACCAACCAUUUAUUCUAGCCUGGAGUCUAUCUCUGACAAAAGAAAAGAUCUUGGUCUUCGAUCCACCAAGACUAUCAGGUAAACCAAGAUAAGAUCCCAUACCCCCGAGGUUUUGAAUUCCUAGACCUGCUUUUAUUUCUGCCUUAAUAGAAUCAUCCACCUUAUAGCCAAACUGAAUCGAAGAUUUUGAAAAAUGAAUUUGUUGCCCUGAAACCAUUUCAUAUUGCUUUAGAAUCCCCAAAAUUACCCCACAUUGUUCUUUAUUGGCUUUGCAAAAGAACAAACUAUCAUCAGCAAAUAAGAGAUGAGAUACCGAAGGACUAGCUGUAGAUACUCUAAUACCAGUAAUUAAUUUUUGUUGUUCCGCUUUCCUUAUAUUCGCAAUAAGCACUUCCGUACAUAAAAUAAAUAAGUAAAGAGAUAAAGGAUCUCCUUGUCUUAAUCCUUUUUCCGGAAUAAUUAGUCCUCGGGGUUGUCCAUUAAGAAGAACUCUAUAUUGGACUGUUGUGAUACACCACAUCAUCCACGAAAUCCACUUUUCGCAGAAUCCCAUCUUCCUCAAUAAUUCUUCGAUAAACUUCCAUUCAACCCGAUCGUAAGCCUUACUCAUAAGAAUAUUAUCUGAGAUUAGUCGUCCUUUUACAAAAGCCGGUUGGUUUUCCAAAAUAAGUUUUGGUAGUACCGUCUUAAGUCUUUGACAAAGGAUUUUUGAAAUAACUUUAUAACCAACAUUGCAGAGACUAAUGGGCCGUAAUUCCUUCAUCCGGGUUGGUCGCUCCGUUUUUGGAGUAAGACAUAUAUUAGUCGUAUUUAACCGCUUAUCAAAAACUCCAUCUCGUAAAAAAGAGUUUACGAGGAUCAACAAGUCCGAUUUAAUAGUAAUCCAGGCUUUUCUGAAAAAACAAGGCUGUCAUCCCAUCAGGUCCUGGUGCUUUUUCCGGAUGCAUCAUAAAUAAUGUUGCUCGGACCUCGCGUUCCGUCGCGGGAGCCGUCAAAAAAUCAUUUAUCUGAUCCGUGAUCAAUGUUUUCACCUCUGCUAGGGACUCCUCAAAAACAUGCGGAUUAGAUGUAGAAAACAAAUUUUUAAAAUAAAAGACCGCUAUGUUUUGAAUAUCUUUAUCCUCUACAGACCAUAUCCCAUUUUUAUCAUGUAAACCGGUAAUCCGAUUCCUUGCACGCCUCUGUUUUGUCAGAGCAUGAAAGUAUUUCGAAUUAUUAUCCCCUAAUUUCAUCCAAAGACUCCUACUUUUUUGAUACCAAUAUAAUUCUUCAUCUCUAUAAGCCUCUUUCAACUGCAAUGUUAACUCCGUAAUCUCCUCACGUGAUCUCGUAUCAUCACUUUGAGCCACAUCGAAUUCUAAUUUCAGAUCCUCUAUUUUUUCCCGUCCAUAAGGAGAUAAUUCUUUCCGCCAUUGUGAAAUAGCCUUUCUACAAUUAGUCAAUUUUUCCACAAACUGUCCCUUUUCAGCACCGGAAUCGAGAUUCCACCCACUUGAUAUUGCCUCUAGUAACCCCGGAAUCAAACCUAAAAGAUCGCUUACUCCGUGGUAUCUUAUCUAAAAUUGAGGCUAUAACCGGAGAAUGGUUAGAAGCUACCAUUUGUAAAUAUUCAACGAAAGAACUAGGGAAUAAUUCAUGCCAAUCCUCAUUUGCUAACGCUCUAUCUAACCGACACCAUAUAGGUUUUUUAUCCCGCCAUCCCCUCCAAGAUAACCAAUCUCCGAGAUAUGGAAAAUCCAAAAGUCCACAAUCGUUUAUCAUUAAAUUAAAAGGGAUGAAAGAAGAAGCAUGUCUCAAUUUACCACCUCUUUUUUCAUGAUUUCCGGUUAAUUCAUUGAAAUCCCCUAUCAAAAACCAAGGAGUAUCUCUAGAUAUCCCGAUUCGUGUUAACCGUUCCCAAACUUGGUCUCUUUUUAUUUAUUUUUUAACCUAAAUUUUGGACAAAAUAUACGUGGGUGUCCUGUCCUCCAGAUCAAAUUUAUCAUCUUGUCUUCUUUGCGCAUUAAAAAUAACUUUCUUUCUUUUUUUUUGGUUCUUAACGAAUUUUUUACUUUGUUUAUUGGUUAUACGGUCAAUGUGAAACGUAUAAAACGUAAUUUUUUUUUUGUCAUCUGAUUUUAUUGAUAAUACCAUGAGAAGAUACUUGUGAUACAAACUAAAGCCGACAGAAUACAGAAUUUUCCCGGAGUCUAAAGCCGGCGGAAUACAGAAUUUCUCCGGAGUCUAAAACCCUAUGAAAGAGAAGCCAUAUUUGAUACUAAAGGGCAAGAAGGAAUGAAGCAAUGGUAGAAGAGAACCAAAACUGAAAAAGGUAGAAAAUGCUUAAUCCUGACAUAGUGGACUAACACACAAAUUACGAGUCACCUAGCUCUUGAAGAUCCAUUGAGAGAGAAGUAUCGCAGAUGCCCGCGGCCAACCAACGAUACACAAGACCUCCUAUUGAGAUGAAUAAAUGCCUUCAAAGAUCAAAAUUCCUAAACUUAAUGACCCGGCAAGAUAGAACUAAUCAUAGUUCCCCAAACUUUCUUCUGGAUACGGGGCUGUCGGAGACAAGGCGACAAAGAAACACCCUAGAUAGAAGUUUCAUGAAAGACCAGACCUCGAUCAGGUCUAUAAUGCAGAGACAUGGAGCGAACGAUCCAAUCCGGAUAACACCAAUCUCACAAGACGAGAGAGGUAAAAGAUCAAACCAGAGAGAAUCCAAAGAGAUCUUCACAAUCGAACAUAGAAGAACCUGCAAUCUUAGCAGCCACCACAGACUAUCAAAAGCAACCCACCCAACACAAGAUCGGAACCCACAAACACUACCUGAAAAACAAUCGNNNNNNNNNNNNNNNNNNNNNNNNNNNNNNNNNNNNNNNNNNNNNNNNNNNNNNNNNNNNNNNNNNNNNNNNNNNNNNNNNNNNNNNNNNNNNNNNNNNNNNNNNNNNNNNNNNNNNNNNNNNNNNNNNNNNNNNNNNNNNNNNNNNNNNNNNNNNNNNNNNNNNNNNNNNNNNNNNNNNNNNNNNNNNNNNNNNNNNNNNNNNNNNNNNNNNNNNNNNNNNNNNNNNNNNNNNNNNNNNNNNNNNNNNNNNNNNNNNNNNNNNNNNNNNNNNNNNNNNNNNNNNNNNNNNNNNNNNNNNNNNNNNNNNNNNNNNNNNNNNNNNNNNNNNNNNNNNNNNNNNNNNNNNNNNNNNNNNNNNNNNNNNNNNNNNNNNNNNNNNNNNNNNNNNNNNNNNNNNNNNNNNNNNNNNNNNNNNNNNNNNNNNNNNNNNNNNNNNNNNNNNNNNNNNNNNNNNNNNNNNNNNNNNNNNNNNNNNNNNNNNNNNNNNNNNNNNNNNNNNNNNNNNNNNNNNNNNNNNNNNNNNNNNNNNNNNNNNNNNNNNNNNNNNNNNNNNNNNNNNNNNNNNNNNNNNNNNNNNNNNNNNNNNNNNNNNNNNNNNNNNNNNNNNNNNNNNNNNNNNNNNNNNNNNNNNNNNNNNNNNNNNNNNNNNNNNNNNNNNNNNNNNNNNNNNNNNNNNNNNNNNNNNNNNNNNNNNNNNNNNNNNNNNNNNNNNNNNNNNNNNNNNNNNNNNNNNNNNNNNNNNNNNNNNNNNNNNNNNNNNNNNCGUCGAUGAAGAUGAUAAAACUAACCAAAUAAACCUCUGAAAUGUCAAAGCUUCAAAUUCGAACCACCAGCCAUGGACGAAACCAAGAAAGAAACAAACGAGACUACAAGGAUUCUAAAUCCGGAAUGCCGUACAACAACCCGUAGAUGAAGAACCCACACAAACCUUAACCAACUAAAAGACACCCAAACACAAAGAGGCAGCAUGUGAAACAAGAGAAAAAUCGAGCCACCCAGAAACAGAGCCGCUGUUGCUCAGAUCUGAUUAGGGAAGAUAUACAUAACCUCCGGUGCUCCAAAUUGAAACACUUGGCCAGAGACAAACGAGGCACCACACAGAGAUACAGUGGCGAGAACGGCGACUCCAUCUUCACCAUCGACCAUAAAGCCUUUUGAAUCUAAUCUCCUUAAGCCAAUCUCCAUCGGAUCUGAGAUUCCAAGAGAACCCAUUCCACCUCGCCAAAACCAUCAUGCUUCCACAGCCGCCACGCGCCGGUCAGAUCUUGGUCAAGAUCAUGUUACGAGUGGCGAUAGUUAGGUUUGAGAGCUUUUCACGGUUGCUUGGGGCCAAACGUAACUACAAUGACAUGUAUCUGUAAUGUAUAAAACAUAUUUUGUCUCGCCAUUCAAAAAAAGUGUUUAUUUUGAAAAUGUUUUGGCGUAGUUGCAUAUAUAUUGUAUAUUCAUAUAAAAUAAAGAAAUAGUAUUCUCUAGUUUUAGUAUUAAGUGUAUCCCUUGUAAUUGUAAUACUUACGUUGGUCAUCUUGCGAAAUGUGCAAAAAUUUAGGAAUUUUGUUUUUCUAUGUAAGUUUGAGAGUAUUUGAUUGACUCUUUCUAAUAAAGAAUUCUUAUCCAUUAAUUAAUAUAUAGAAUUGAUUAUAUAAAAAUAAAAUAGUAAACCUAUACGUUUGAUGUUUCAUAGGCAAAAUAAUGAAUUCCACAUUUGACUCGACCAAGAGAAUAUAUAAAAUAACUUUAUCCAUCAAAAUAUUUAUCUUCAAAAAGAAAUUUCAGGAUUCAAAGUAUUACUAAUAAACAUGUUUAAAUCAUCAUCCAAAAAUCUCUUAGUCUGGAUAUAUGUUGGCUUCAUUGGUGUUACAUAUUAACCGUAUUUAUUUCGUUUUCUUACCAUAUAUUUUAAGUAUCUACAUAAUUCUAUACUAUAUAGUGUAUAUAUACUAUAUAGGCAAGAUAUCGAGGUUUUUAUUUUUUCAUAUAGAUAUAACGAUUUUGGAUUGGUUCUUUCAAAAGGAAAAUAUUUGUUCCAUAACUUAACAAAAUGGUGGAAAAAAAAAGUAGUGUGUAUAUAUAACUCUGUAUAGACACAAUGAGAUUGUGCGUUGGGACUAGGACUCGAGAGAGGGGUCCCGUAAAGUAUUAUUGAAGAUGGCAGUGAGGACAGUUUUGUUUGGUAGGGACACAUCUUGCAUGAACAGUACUUCUCACUCAUAUUAAGACAGUUUCAGAAUCAGAAAAGAAGACCAAGCCUCUCUUGCUUCUUCCUCUUCUUCUAUUUCUUUAAAUAAUUAGUUUUCUCCAAAAAGGGUUUUCAUGUCUUUUACUUCAACUAUUUCAUUUACUUUGUGUUUUCUCUUUUAAUCAAUCUAGAACAAGUACCUUAUUUCCCAAUUUGGUGUGUCGACUUUAGUGUUAUAAAAAUUGAAAAUGACAAUAGUACCCUUUAAGAAGAGGACGAACAAUGCACAUGGCCAAGGCUAUGGGUGCCAUUGCCAAACGUUAAGUGUCCUAAUAAUACCAACUCGAUUUCAGUGCUUUGGUUUGUAGGGCAAACAAGAGUACUCCCCCCCAAAAGAAAUUUACCUUUUUAUUUUUGUUUCCUUCGCCCAAACUAUAGAAUUUUAUUCUACCUCAAAGUCUUUUUAGAACUUGGAUAUUGUACCAUGCAUAAGUGAGUCCAAAACUCACAUGCAACCUAAUGAAAUGGUGUAUGGAAUAUAUUACAUUUGAAAAAUAGGCCCAACGAUGUAUCAAGGAAGGAAAACAGAUGUAUGAUGAAAUAACACACAAUCUUUUUAUGUUAUUAUCGAUAAAGAAAAAAAAAGGUUACAAGUUUACACCCAAUAAGACCAUGUCACAUACCAAUCACGUAUAUCGUUUUUUUUUUUCCGUCAAACACCAUUUUAUUAAGUUAUCGGGAAGAGAUUCUCCUCUAGGGAGAGCUAAUCAGGAACCGAUGAGCUUACAUGAGAAAAGAUACAAUUACGGGCUCGGGUUUUCUUAGCUAAACAAACAACCCGACCAUUAAAAAUACGAGGAAAAAACCUAGACUGAAAAGUUACAGCAAAAGAUAAAGAAAUACUACUGAUAAGGAGUUCCACCACGAAGGAAGGAUUCUCGUAGAUGCGGAGGGCUGUCCUUUUCCAGAAUGCCAAGCUCCAUGGUAACCAACUAACCAUUGCCACAAGGAAUACAAAAGAUUCCAAGCAGUUUUAAACUUCCAAUAUUGCGCCUGAAGUGCAUGAGCAUUCAUUCCCUGAAAAGGGGGGUCGCAAAAAGGACGAGAAGAAAAUCUCUCGAUCCAAAGUCCAAGGUCGUCGAUAAAGAGAAGGGAACGAAACCAAACAAUUGUAGGCAGAAUUCUCGAACCAAGCAAAGAGAUACACAGAAGAUUAGAGCCUGUGAGUAUGAAGGAUGUAAAAGGGUACAAAAAACCUCCUCGUCUCGUGAAGGGAAUCACCAUAGAAAGCAUAAUGUUUUGGAACUCAACUAAGCUUCUCAGGAGAAGGCACAUUAGAAGUUUACCACGCCUGUGAGAGAUGCUAGCUGAAGAGGUCUCUCUUUCAACAAAGAGGAAGUUAAAGCCAUGUCUCUCCUCAAUGGAGGAAUUAAUCGAGUCGGGAAAAGAUAGAUCUAGGAUCAAUACUCCAAUCAUGCCCUGAACACCUUGAUUCAUUUUACCAAUCACGUAUAUCGUUACAAUAUCAUAUGUGAACUAUUUCUUCAGUCAUUCUGUUAAGUUUCAUGAGUUUCCAACUCAAAACUAAUUGACAAUGAAUGGAUUGGCUCAAAUCUCUUAUAUACUACUCAAGUCACUUUCCAUCUUUCCAAUGUGGGAUCUUUCUCUACACAUUCUAGAUUUCGAAUGGAGAUCGUUACGCACGGUGCAAUUGUUUCGUACAUGUCCAUUUGAUUACAUUCUAAAUUAUAUUUUAAUAUUGUUGUAACAAUAUAUAAUAUGAUUUUACCAAUAAUUUAAAAUUUUAUAUACCAUUCAUAUAACAAAGGAUACGAUACUAGGAAAUGAACAUACAAAUAUGAAUUUACAUGAGCGUGACGAGAACAUUAUGUUUAGAUCAAUUCCAUGUAUUGUCUCUUAAUUCACUUUAUUCGAUUUGACUUGUUUCCUGAAGGCGUGUAGAGUAGACAAGUUAGGUUUCUAAAUUUGUCUAUACAAUCUCACAUCCAUUAUGCAAUUGGCCACAAAUAGAAAUUCAUUAUUUCAUUCAUAUAUAAUCUGUAAUAAUUGUAUCAUUCAAUAUAAUUCGGUUAAGCAAACUUUUAAACUAAUAGCUUAUAUAAUAUUUAAGCUAACUUUUAAACUAAUAGCUUAUAUAAUAUUCGGAUAUUCGCGGAUAUCCAGAUUUUUAACGAAUAUCCGGAUACCGGAUAUCCGGAAUUUAGGGAUGCGGAUACAAAUACUAAAUUGGCGGAUAAUACGGAUACUAAUACAUAUAUAGAUAUUUUUAAAAAGCUGAAAUCAGUUCCGUUUACAGACCUAUCCAAAAUUAUCUUUCGUACAAACAUUAUAUGAUAAUAAAUACAAAAUGGUUGAUUUCUCAUAUCGUUGGGAUAAAAGUUAUACCGUUUUAAUAGUUAUUAAUCAUAAGAUGAUGCCAAAUAACAGUAACAAAUAGAUGUUCUCAAUCUAGUAUCUUUUUACUUUUUUAAAAUUUUAGUAUCUGCCUUCUUCUGCUAAAAGAAACUUUAACCAUCUCCUUUAUCAAUCAACUUACAAUUCCUUAAAUUGUAAUAUUUAAAAUUCUUGUAUAGCGCUGGCUAUAUACAUAUAAAAGUUGGAUUUAAGAUGCUUUUGAACAAAAUCACUUUCCAAUAAACUAUUUGAUUCCCCGUAGUAGCGACAAAAUAAGCCUAAUAGAGUCUCUCAGCAGCCUAAUAGAGUCAAUAUAUCUUUUCCAUGCACAUCCGAGUUGUAGUAAUCCACAUGUUAUUACACUAAACUCAAUGUGUCUCAUUUUUCACUUUGGAUUUUUAAGAUGUUUGUUAUUUUAUUUUAUUUAGGUUAUGAUCUUAUAAUAUUCUUGUUUUUUUUUUUUUUGUAACUGGUCGGUUUGGCUUUAGAUUUAAAACAGAUAUAGAACAAUUUCAAUAGUUAGCACCUUUCUUUAAAAUAUAUCUUUUUUUUCAUCUUUGAAAUUAAAUCGAUGUAAAUAUGUUACCACCGCAAAUUUAUUGUAAAUACUCCCACCGAGAGACAAACUGAGAACCGACGUACGUAUAUUCUUCGAAUCGAGUACCAACAACUUCGUAUAAAUCGAAAUAUCCAUAUUUAUCCGCGUACACGAAUGAAUCAUCAAAAAUAUAUAUAGCAUAAAGAAGACAAGAAAAGGAUCCAAUUUAGAUCUCCAUACGAGAAAUUGAUUAUAUAUAUAUAUAUAUAUAUAGAAAGAUCUUAUCCAUUCCAUCAACAAAUCCAAUGGAAAUCACAGACUCGAAAAAUAUGAAAUUGAAGAAUCUUAUCUCUUUUUUCAUAUGAUAGGCCUUCGUAGCCUCAGGAAAGUGUUAGUACCAAGGGAAUAGACUUUUAGCCACAUAGCCACUAUCUUUUCGUGUUAAAAAAAAAAAACCACUAUCUUCAUUUUUUUUCGGCAAAAAAAUAUUGUUUUAUAUAAGUUAUUGGACAUAGAUUUUUCUCAAAAAAAAUAAAUCCAGCCAGUGUAUUUACGUAAAAGAAUAAAGAACCUUGUGCUCUUCUUCUCUUAGCUAAAUAGUCAGCACGAAUAUUAUUACAACAUGCAAUAAACUGAAUAUAAAAAAAUGGAAAUUUUUUUUCAAAAGCUUAAAAAAUUGUAUUUCUACUGCAAACGUAGACCAUUCAAAUGGGUUUUCUAAAAUAGAAAUUAGUUUUGAGCAGUCUAAAGCAAAACCAAAAUUUGUCUUCGACUCUGCGAUGAGGCACUCCAUUGGCCAGAGAAAGGAUUCGAAUUCUGCUUGAAAAAGAGAUAGUCCCUGAUGGAAAUCUUUAGUCCCAUGAAAAUAGGUGUUUGUCCAUCCAUAACUACCUACCUGUGUACACUGAAAAGAUCAGUUACCAUCCAAGAUCCAUUGUUGAUUCCGAAAAUCACGUAAUGAAUUUGUUUAAAGGUAGAAAACAAAUUCAAUUAACCCUCUUGCUAUUUCUGAUCAAAGACUCAAAAGAAAGAUGAAUUUUAUUGCUUAGAGAAAAAGUUAGGGUUUUGCUCAAGAACAAUUAAAGUUUUUGCGUAAAGUUGCCGAUACUUUGAAUAGGGGACAAAUCCCCCUAUUUAUAAAUGAUUCAGGCAGUUUAAAGAUAAGUUAAACUUCUAAAUCUUCGAGACCUUAUCUUCAGCUUUUCUUUUCUUCUCGCGAUUCUCCUUUUCUCUUAAGGAAAAUCUUUCUUUUUCUUGAACGAGAAGUCGGUUUAGGCGAUCUCCCGUCUUCGGGUCGAGUUCGCCAUGCGACCUCAUUCGCCGGGCCCAUUGACAGGCCUAACCGAGAUUCUCUGGUUUAACUGAAUUCUCAGAUAUAUUCGUAAUUCGUCCGGUUUAAGCUAGUAUUGUCGGAGGUACUAAUUCUUGCACCAACACCCAUCAAUUUGACAUUUUGGGUGAGUAACUCCCAAAAUUGUAGAAGCAUCAAUUUGACACUUUUUCAUGUUUUGAACUAAUAUUUACGAUACAAUUAUAAAAUACACAAAAACUGAUUUAACCACCUAAUAGUAUUUUCAUUUUUUGUUCUUUUUUUUUAUAUUUAAAAUAGCCACCAAAUAGUUGAUAAUAAGAGUUUUUUUUUUCUUUCUUUUUUUACAUUUCUGUUCGUGGAUAAAUAUUAGAUUUGUAUGAUAUAUUGGUAUACAAUAGUUGAGUGAAAUUGUUAGUAUGUGUAUUAAGUAUUAACACUUGCAGAGAGUUCAGAAUUCGGGUAUAUUAAAAUGAAUUUGUUAUGAAAAAAAAAAAUGCAAAAGUGAUAAACUAUUAAGUUCUAAAUAAUACUAACUAGAUUUUAACCCGCGGUACACCGUGGGGCUAUAUUUUCUUAAAAAAAUCAAAAUGUAAUUUGUUUGAUAGAUUAUUUUGAUUGUUAAUUUUAGGAUUUCAUCCGUGGUAUACUAUCUUUUAUAAAUAUCAACCCAAACUCGUCCCAUCAUAUUACCCGUCCCGUGAAAUUAAACAUCAUUUAGUUAUUUUUCUUUUUAAUAAUACUUUUAUUUAAAAGCUAUAUAAUUCAAGUCAAUUUAAAAAUUUCUUUUAAAUGGUUCCCAUAAGAUAUAUAUACAUAUAUAUUAAAUUUGUAUAGAGUUGAAAUAAUAUUAAUAUUACAAACUUUUUAUAUAAUUUAAAUAUUAUAAAUAUUUUUAAAAAUAUGCAAUAUAUAUUUUUUGUUAUUGAAUAAGAGGAUAUUAUGUGUAAGAAAUGUAGAAAAUAAGAGUUUAAUAUUUUUAUUAUGGAGUCGCAAGAAAAAUCUUUUAUUUCUAUACAUGUUAUUCGUUUAUUAAUAAUAAAAGAAAACAAAUCCUUUAAAUUAGAUAUUAACUAAAAUAAACGCACCAUAAUUACUUAUUAAGUAACAACCAAUAAAUUUCACCAAAAAAUAGGUAACAACCAAUAAAUUCUAAACGCAGUAAUUAAAGAAUGAGAUAUUAAAAAAAAAUAUCAAAUAAGAUAUAAGAAUCUUAAAAUAAUUGAAUAUCUAAAUAAUUUAAUUGUUAGUGUCGAUUUUAAUGCCUUCAUUAAUGUGGAUUUUUUUUUUUACAGAGAAAUAUUUCCUAAAGAUUAUCACAUUAAUGACUCAGAAAAUUAAGGAAGAUAUGAAUUUAUGAUUCUCGAAAUCGUGUUGGUAAUAUUUUUCAAAUUUAAAUAAUUAAUGCCAAUGGCAUUCAUCCGUAAAUACAUUCCAACUCCAGGAUUUAUUUGCUAAAAGUCAUCCAAAAAUGUAUAUAUAGAUACGGGGCUGGACAAACAUUUCUAGAUCAAUAGAGAAAUGUUAAUUCAUACAUAAAAUCAUUGUCGCUAGUACAUGGAAUUAGCCGAAUUAUAAAUCUUCGUAGUUAGAGGGCAACGUUUAGAUUGGCCCAAAUAUUUUCGCUAAGGCCCAUAUUAUAUCGACAAGCGUUUUAGUCCAAUAUAUAUAAUUGUAAGCCCUUAUAGUGGAAAUACAGGAGUACGUAGAUAUUUUUUGUCCAUAAAGCCCAUAAAAAUGGCCAUUUCACUUCUUCUUUUUUUUCCUUAGUUUGGAGCAUAUAGUGCAAACAGAACCAUCUGUUGUGGACAUGUGUGUUGUUGAAGAGAGGUUUCGUCUUAGAAUUAUCCGAGAAAUCUACAUAUACAUUUUUACAGGAUUUUUUUGCAUUAAUUCAUUUGGAUCCGGGUUUUAUCCGGGUUUAAUUCUAUUCGGAUCUUGGAUAAGUAAUUUUAGGAAUGUUGUAAUAAAAACGACAUUAAAUCCAAGAUAUUACAAAAAUCGUUGCCAAAAAUAUCUUCAGAAAAGAUAUUGCGAUGAACUAAUCGUUGCCUAAAAUCCUGCCUAAGUUCAAUACGCUUUCUUUAAAAAAUCCCAACUGUUAGAUGUCAUCCAAACUAAUUACUCCUACAUACCUUAUCUGAGAUAUUUUCUCUCAAAAUCUGCAAGAAUUCAAUUUUUUAGAAACAUAUUUAUGACACAAAAUACAUAUUCACAGCAUAUUCCUAAAUACAAAACUAUAGCUGAGAUUUUAUUCCAAUUAGCUAAGGUAUCGAAUAUUUUAUGCUUUCCGAUCAAGGAAUUUUUUUUACCUAACUUAUGAGUCUAUAAAUACUCUUAUGCUUCACGUCUCAUAACAUCAUCAUACACAAAAGCAACGAUCUAAAAAACCCAGCAAACACAUGAAUUAAGAGAGAUUUAACACAGCUUAUUCUCUAAAGGUACGUUCACUUUACCAUUGUUACUUUCUUUUUUUCAAUUAUGUUUUACACAAGUACAUAUCGUAGUAAAACAUGUUCCAUUUUCUCCCUGUAGGUUACUCAUUCUCAAGGCAAUGUUGAAAACAAUACCAAAUCAAAGUUUAGAAUUCCAUCACAACUAACCUUUAGGAGAUGUGGUAACACUAUUUUUCUAUGGAUUAUCAGAUUCAUUAGUAAAGGUAAUGAUUUACACUAUACUUUUGUAUAUCCAAACCACAUGUCAGGAGACGAAAAAAAAACACUAAAUCUGAGUUAUUUCAUUAAGCAACACUCAAAACUAUAUAACUACAACUCUUGGAAAUGAAAUUUUGUUACUAACCUUUGUCUCUAUUGCUUGUGAGGACAGAUGACACGACUCUUCACUAAUCAUUUACUUCCACUUUCAUAAUAAAAAAUUAAGCUUCACCUAUGAAGCAAAACAAACGUUAGUUACAUAGAUUAAGAAUCUUUUAAGGUACAUGUUAUAAAGAAAACAAUUUCUUAUCUUUGUGUUGGUCACGAGACUGAUAAGCUGAGGGUUCCUUUGGUAUUCAUGAAGAAGAAGGCUAGAACCAGUGGAAGAAGGGCUCAAGUCUGGGGCUCGAGCUGGGGAAAGAAGAAUGCAACAUCAAGUGGCUAAGUGAAGGCAUUCAAGAGAAGAUAAGAGGAGAGUUAAGGAAGAGCAGAAAAAUAGACAGAAAUGAUAGAAAAUAGUGAGCUUUACCUAAACAGCCGCUCAAAGAAAGAAUAAGAUUAUUGUUGUAUAAAGCUUGAAUCAUUUUAUCUUCUAUAGAUAAUCUGAUAUUAAAUGAUUAGUUGAUAAAUCAAUUAGAUUGUUUAACUUUUGUAAAAUAAAGACACAUGAAUAUAUAUGUUACAACAUUUCUGUAAAGUAGCUACAACUUCUAUAAGAGAGAUGAUUAUUGAAUCUAAAAAAAAACAUGAUUAUUUCAUGAAUUGUGAGAAGUUUAAUUCUGAAACCAAUGACGAUCACACUUCUCAAAAUUAAACGAUGAUUAGUGAAUAACAUGAGAGACGGUAAAGAAAAGUGUUAACUUUGUAUGCUAGAACAUUAGCAAUUAGUAUUUGAAAUCGAAAUAGGAUUACAGAAUCAAUAUCUAUAUAUACAUUUUUGAAUGACUUUUAGCAAAUAAAUCCUGGAGUUGGACCUUAUUUACGGAUGAAUGCCAUUGGCAUUAAUUAUUUAAAUUUGAAAAAUAUUAAUUAAAGAUAUUACCAAUACGAUUUCGAGAAUCAUAAAUUCAUAUCUUCCUUAAUUUUCUGAGUCAUUAAUGUGAUAAUCUUUAGAAAAUAUUUCUCUGUAAAAAAAAAAAAUCCACAUUAAUGAAGGCAUUAAAAUCGACACUAACAAUUAAAUUAUUUAGAUGUUCAAUUAUUUUAAGAUUCUUAUAUCUUAUUUGAUAUUUUUUUUUUAAUAUCUCAUUCUUUAAUUACUGCGUUUAGAAUUUAUUGGUUGUUACCUAUUUUUUGGUGAAAUUUAUUGGUUGUUACUUAAUAAGUAAUUAUUGUGCGUUUAUUUUAGUUAAUAUCUAAUUUAAAGGAUUUGUUUUCUUUUAUUAUUAAUAAACGAAUAACAUGUAUAGAAAUAAAAGAUUUUUUUUGCGACUCCAUAAUAAAAAUAUUAAACUCUUAUUUUCUACAUUUCUUACACAUAAUAUCCUCUUAUUCAAUAACAAAAAAAUAUAUAUUACAUAUUUUUAAAAAUAUUUAUAAUAUUUAAAUUAUAUAAAAAAUUUGUAAUAUUAAUAUUAUUUCAACUCUAUACAAAUUUAAUAUAUAUGUAUAUAUAUCUUAUGGGAACCAUUUAAAAGAAAUUUCUAAAUUGACUUGAAUUAUAUAGCUUUUAAAUAAAAGUAUUAUUAAAAAGAAAAAUAACUAAAUAAUGUUUAAUUUCACGGGACGGGUAAUAUGAUGGGACGGGUUUGGGUUGAUAUUUAUAAAAGAUCGUAUACCACGGGUGAAAUCCUAAAAUUAACAAUCAAAAUAAUCUAUCAAACAAAUUACAUUUUGAUUUUUAAGAAAAUAUAGCCCCGCGGUACACCGCGGGUUAAAAUCUAGUAUUAGUCUAUUUCAAUAUCAAGAUUAUACGUAAUCCAGCAUCCAUGAAAAAUCAAAAUUACUAAUACAGAUUAUACUAGAGAUUAAUAAAAACAAUAAGAUUUAAAAAUUAUAAGUAACCAGAAAUAUUAUGCCAAUUUUAAGAAUCACUAUCACCGUUUAAAAUUGAUGUUGACCAGACUCGAGCCCUAUACAAAUUUAACAUUUAGUGAAAAAAUCCGAAGAAUGAUAACCAUUCAUUACAAAGAAACAUCGACAAACACCAAAAACUUAUGCAAAUUCCUAGAAUUUUUUGGGAUCUAACGUAUGAAAUCGAGAGUAUAUUUGAGAAGAAAUUAAGCAGGAAAGAGGACGAGAGAAUCAAAAAAGAGAGACAGAGAACUAACAAGAAGCCUUCUUCUCGGAUCAUCCUCAUGAAACCGCCGAGACCUUUCUCUCUAAUCGCCUCCAACGCACUCUACGCCACCGUCAAAGCAUCGUCUUCCGCUAUCUCUCUCUCUCUCUCGGAAUCGGGAUUCAAUUUCAGUAUCGAAAUAACAAGGGACAUGACAAUUGCCAAACGUAUCGUUUUGGUUUUUGUUGGGCUACGCUUUGUGAUUUACAUGGGCCACUUCCCACUUUCCCCAUUUCUAUUGUAAAUACAAAUCAAAAACCAAUUCCAACUUCAAUACGUUUUUUUUUUUUUUUGAAUUAUUUAAAAAUUAUAAUUAGAUGUGGUAUAAUAUUAUUAUUAAAAAUUUAUAUGUAUAGUUAGAAUUCUAUAAUAUGUUUUAAAAACCAAAAAAUUAUAUUAGAUUAUUUUAUGUUUUAAGUUGAUAACGGUAUGUGUUUUUGACAAUAUGCAAUAUAUAUUAUCUUGUGUUAGAACAUCUAUAUUUACAUAUUUGAAGUAUAUUUUAGAAAAUAGUCUUCGUUUUCUAAACUAUUUACAAAGAAUGUCAUUGUUUAUAUCAUGUAUCCAUAUAACCAAACACAAUUAAAAGUUUUUAACAUUAAUUAUACAAUUAGAAAAUAUCUAUAUAAUGUUCCCAAUUUAUUAAUAUGUUUUUUAAAUAAAAAUAUUAUUAAAAAGAAAAAUAACAAAGUGAUGUUUGAUUUCACGGGACGGAGUUGUAUUAUGGAACGGGUUUGGUUCGAUAUAAAUACGGGACGGUAUACCACGAGUAAAAUCCUAAAAUUAAUAAUCAAAAUACAAUUAUACAAUUUUAAACACUAAUCAAAACAAACAAUAUUAACAAAACAACUAUAACUUAAAAUUUAAACUUUUUAGUUAAAAAAAUCGACCCGCGGUAUACCACGGGUUAAAAUCUAGAUGAGGGAACCUUAUAUAUCAGUGCGUAAUGAACUAUAUAAUUUUCUCUAUCUCUAUAUUUUCAAAAAUGAACUUCAAAUAUACUAAUCUUACAAUAUAUAUAUAUAUAUAUAGAUAGAUAUACAUAUAUAUAUAUAUAUUCAUUUAAAUCAAAACACAGUAGAAUAUAUGUAAAACAAAAGUCUUAAAAUAAAAAUAAAAAUUUUUCUUUAACAAAAAAAUUCAAAUAUGUCAAAUAAAAUAUUUAAAUUACUAUUAAGAAAAAUUAAAUAAUAUUUAGGCCCGCGGUGUACCGCGGGUUAACAUCUAGUAAUUUAUUGUAAUCGUAUGUGUUGUAGUUUAUUAAAUUCGAUCGAUUGAUUAUCUGAAAUAAGAUGAUGGAGAAAAUUUUUGUUGCUAGAUUUUUGUGUGCACACGGAUAUAGUAGUUCGACUGCUAGAGGCGAUCAACUCAAUUUUUCACUGAACUAAGAUUUCAUUUUUUUUUGCUGGCUGUUGGUGCAGGAAUUAGUACCUUCGACAAUACCGAUUUAAACCGGACGAAUUAUGAAUUAAUAUUGAGAUUAAAUCAGAGAAUCUCGGUUAAGCCUGUUGAUGGGCUGAAGGAGGAAAUCGCAUAAGCCGACUUCUUCGUUCAAGAAAAAGGAGAUUUUCCUAGGAAGAAAAGGAUAAUCCCGAAAAGAAAGGGAAAUCAGAAGAUAAGGCCUCGAAGAUUUAGAAGAUUAACAUAUCUUUAAACCGCCCUUAAUCAUGUAUAAAUAGGGGGUUUGUCCCCUAUUCAAAGGAUCCGGAACUUUACGCAAAAAACUCUAAUUGUUUUUGAGCAAAAACCCUAACUUUGUCUCUAAGCAAUAAAGUUCAUCUUUCCAUUGAAUCUUUGAUCAGAAUUUAAAAGAGAGUUAAUUGAAUUGUUUUCCUCUUUAAACAAAUUCAUUGUGUGAUUUUUAAAAUCAACACUGGCUUUCAGCUGCCUAUAUGCCGAAUAAGAAAUAAAGAUUGUCCUAUGCCUUUGACACCCAAAUCAAAAUAAAGCAAGUAAUUGGUUAGAAAACGGAGAAAUCAAUGGAUAUAUUGUUUACGUACGUAUUCGAAUUUGGUUGGCGAUGGUAAAAUCAUCCGAGUACAAGGUUACAAGAUAAACUUGCACUAUAAAAAGUUACUUCUAAAAAAAGAAAAAAGUUAAACAAAACUCUAGAAGCAGCCUUUUAUCAAAAAAAAAAAGACUCUAGAAGCAGUUUUUUUUUUCCCUCUUAGAGGAUUGGUGGAUAAUGACGAGGAAGAGAAUAAAAGCAUACCAUCUUUGAUUAAAACAAAAAAAAGAAUUAAAAGGAUGUUUUGUAAAAGCUUGUUUUUGAAUGCCCUCUUGUUUUUCACCUCAAGUCGUAUCUAUAGUAAAAUAAUUACCAAUUUGAAAGACGUGAUCCAUUUUCUAUUAAUUUAAUCUAUACAUAAAAUAUAAAGACAAAGAAAGAACUUUCAAAUCAUCGUGGAUAGAGAAAAAUAUCGCCUUAGCUUAAACAAAAAACGGGUCUAAUAUGAGCACUAUUAUCGGUGGAUCUAUAUAGGUGUAUAAAAGAUAAGAGAUCUAAAACAUAAAUCAAAACUAAAUAAAAGAUAUAGAUCCGGUUACAACUUUGGAUAUUUCCACCAGAUUUAGACUCGCAUACGUGUCACUUUUUGGUUGGUAGAAAAUAUGUGUAAAAAAAAAAAAAAAUUAGGCAUGUGUUUUCUCUCUUUAGCCGUUUUCCCCGACUCUUCCUAUCUCUUGUUCAUCUAUCGCUGAUGGCGAAAUCGGAACCCAAAUCCGUCGAUUUGAGAACCGAAAUGAGUCUCAAAUGGUGUUGUCUGAGUGGUCGUUCUGCUGUUGUCCUCAUUUUCCACGACUCCGGUUCAAAUCGGAGAGUUUGGUUUCUACCGUUCAAGAUUUUUCACCGACUCCGGUUUUCCACUUAUCUCUCUUUCGUCUUUCUUUAUUUCUUUGUGUCUAUCCGCAUGAAUUUGAUCAAGUUUGCUCUGUUUUGUUGAGGUUAAUUGGAGAAAUAGCAUGAGAUGAUCUAUCCGCAUGAAAUUUGAUCAAUGCUUGAUGUUAUUACCAAUGAAGCAAGGUAAUUCUUCUUCCUUGGGACAAGGUAGGUCAAUCACAUUUCUGAAACGUAAAAAGCUUCAAAAAAUGAUAUUAGACUCUGUCAAUGAAACGGUAGGCUUCAGCACAGUAGCUAGAAGUGGUGGUGAUGCUUUGAGACCAACUUCAUGAAUGGAAACGAGUUCUUCUUUCUUUUGUACCAAAGGACAAGGAUGAAGUUGUGUAUCAAGUUUUGUAAUAUGAUAAAUAUAGUUUAUGUCUCAAGAUUUGUAAAAGAUUUUUAGAAAUUUUUUCAAAAAUUUAAAUUUUUGGAUCUUCAAUUUUGGAUCUACUAUUGGAGUGUGAAAAAAAUAAAAAACUAACUAAGUGUCUAAAUUUCAAAUUUUGCAUUAUUUACAAUUAUAAAUAUGGUUUGGACUCCUAAUGUGAGCCCAACUAUUGGAGUUGCUCUAACAUUUGGUAUGUAACAAAUUUUUUUUUUUUUUUUUUUUUUACUAAUUGGUAUGUAAGUGUAACUAAUUAAGGUGGCUUACUGUCUGCUAGUCUGAUACUGUGAUACGUCAGGUAUAUAAUCAGUAUCUUGAAUAACCAAUAAUAAAAGUAAUUAGUUAUUAAAUAUUUGUUUAGAAUUUGCUAGAAAAGAUAAUCAUUUGUUUAGAAUUUGCUAGAAAAGAUAAUCAUAUUCUCCAGAAAUUUAUCUAAAGAAAAGAUAGUAUUCCCUCUGUUUUAUUAUAGGUGUUGUUUUUUUUUUUUUUGGACAAAUUUAUAGGUGUUGUUAAAUUUUUUUUUUACACAUAUUAAAAAAUAAUUACUUUUCUGUUUUAUCCAUAAUUGAUAUAUUAUACAAUUUUUUUCACGGGUCUAUACAUUAAAAUAGUAAUGAUAAAACUGAAAAUUGUACCAAAUAUUUACAUUAAAAAUAUAAAAUGACAUUUAUUUUAAAAUAAAAUUUAAGUUUAAAACUACAUUUAAUAUGAAACGGAUGGGGUAAAUACCAAAUUUUUCUAAAACCCAGUAUUAGAAGACAGAUAAAAAUGAUGUGGUUGAUAUUCUAUGUGAGAUGUAUCAUUUAUCUUCAUUCUUUAGAUCUCAUUCCAUGAUUUUGACCCCAAAAAGUGUUUGAUUUAGUGAAGUGGCAACAAUAACAACCUUCUCGAAAAUGUUAAUUCAGCUUUAGGAUUAGGAUCUAGGGUGAUAUUUGUCAGAUGUAUCAAACUAUGAAUAUAUCAAACUUAAAUUCCAAAACAAGUAGAAGAGUCUAUAAAACAAGUUUGAUAACCGAAAGCAAUUACGCGUUACAUGCUUCACUAACCAGGCUUUUAGCGAAGCACAUACUAAGAUACAUCUCCAUCCGUAGGAUCGGUUCGGAUAGUUGACAUGGUUAUUUGGCCUUAAAGAGAUGGAUAUGUUGUUUUGAAAAUAACGUCAUUUUACAGACUUUAUAUAUAGUAAUAAAACAGAGAAUCAGAUUGUCGGAAUAUUGAUUCACAUGUUAUUGUUAUAUUUCGACUGUUCCUAAUUAAUCCAAGUUUUAGAAUGAAAAAUUUUCUAUGUAUUUUUAUUAGUUAAUGAUGAUGACCUGUAAACUUCAAUAAAAAAAUGAUUACUAUUGAAUUAGAAUUAUAAGAAAAUUUUAUUCACAUAAUUGAUGUAGAUGCAUUUUAUAAUGAAAUUUUAAUUUAAUUUUUAUAUAUGUGAAAAACUUAAAAUUUUGAUUAAUUUGAAAGAUAUGAAUUACUAUUUAUUUAGCUAGAAUGUCUCUUUUACUCAAAAUAUCUGAAACCAAGAUUUAUUUCUCUCUUUGGAAGACAUAAAGGCCACUGAGUGGAUGCAUAAUCCUUUUGCAUUGGAACUUUACCAAAUAUUAGCCACCGUAUUAACUAGUUUCUUAAAAAAAUAUUUUGGAAGUAGAAAAUGUUUUGGCAAAAAUAAUCGAUUCGUGAGAGUUUACGGAAAACAAGAAAAAUAGUCGAAUAGAAUCUCCUUAUUAAUCAAAGUAUCGAUUGCAAAGUACAAGAAUCAAGGCACAACGAAUCAAUCUAUAAACUCUAGUCAUGUUUUAGAGUUGAGUCAUGUGUCUUGCCGUUUUUCGCAGUCUCUUGUGUUUGCUCUCGAUUUUGUGUCGUCUUUCGUCGAAUGGGGCUCUCCUUUUAUAGAGAAGUCUUCCCAAUCCUAAUCCUCGUGGGAUUUGGAUUUGAGCAACCGCCCUUUCACGUGAUAAAGUCGUCUUCGAUAUUUCCUCAUUAAGGGUCUGACUGGUUUAAACGCAGCGGUUGCGGUUGCAGUUGCGGGAGUUUGUGGAAGCGGGCGGUUGCGGUUUCAAGCGUUACCAAGCGUUUUGAACGACUGGUUUAGCGUUUGAAAAUGGAUGCGUUUGCGGGAAUUUUAUGACUGGUAAACCAACGGGUGCGGUAGUAGUUAAAUAAAAAAAUAACCAAAAAAAAAGUAUUACAAAAAAAAAAUACCAAUAUAUUAUUAGAAAAAUUGAACAUGCUUAAUAAUUAAAACCAUAAAUAAAGUACUAAUAGUUAUUCAAAAUAAAGAAAUUUUGUAAUAAGAUAGUAUUUUAUACUGGGUUAACACCGAAAAUUGCAUCAAGUAAUGGGACAAACUGUAAAUAACGUUGAAUUCAACAAAAAGCAAGUGCUUUUCUAUUCGAGAAAAUAAAUCGAAACAUAUAUUCAAUCAAAAAGCAAAGCAAUACAUAAUGAAAAGCAAAAAAUGAUGCCAAGAAAAAUAUUCAAAGAGUUACACAUGAGGUGAUGAAUGAAUAAAAUGAUAUAUGAUACUUACGUUUGGUUCUUGAUUUUCAUCAGUUUGGGUAGAAGACAUUGAGAAAAUAAGGUUUUAGAAUAUUGAUUAAGGUUUAUGAUGAGAACGUGAUACAAAGAUGAAAGAUACAUAUAUGAUUAAUAUAUUUUAUAAUAAUUAUAAGUAAACGUUUAUUUAUUUUUUUUAUUUUUUUUAAAUCCAACCGCUACCGCCCGCAACCGCAAACGCUUGCGGGAAGAAGCUUUUGAAAUUCAGCGAUUUCGAGCGGUAUAGAGCGGUUUCUAUGAUUGGUACCAACCGCUAACAACCGCAACCGACCGCUAGCAACCGCUAGGAGGGUGCUAGCGGGAGAACCAAUCAAACCCUAAGAUCACAUCAAAUAUUCUCUUUAUAGGAUCUGUGAUUCUCGAGAGGAUAAAGUUAUUCACACGAUUCGGUUAUGGCCCGUAUUGUCCCGAUUUCUGUGGAAUACGGCCCAUAUUGUCAUGAUUCUCACCGAUCGCGGCACGUGUCGAUAUAUCCUAGAGUCUUCUAGAAUAUUAACAAUUAUUUUUCCUAUUUACAUAAUUCUAACAUAUUUAUGAUAUAAUUUCUAUAGUAUAAUUUUGAUGGUUAAAAUUACACCCAACAGAAAAUAUGACAUUGAAUAUAUCGAAAUGGCAAUGCCCCUGAUUUUAUCAUUUAUAAGUAUAUCAUAUACUUAUAUGCAAGUAACACUUGGUGUCUCAUCCAUUAACCCAACGAUUGACUAUCUUAUUUCGAGACAAAGCAUUGGUUCAAUCAUGCAAAAUCUACCUUAUCUAUAGCUUUUCAGUUAAUUAAAUGUAAAUCCAUUUCUUUCUUACAAAAAAAAUAUAUUUGAUAUAUCAUAGUUACGUCAUAUGUUUUUUGUUCCGAGCCUUGUCUCUUUCAAGAUGAACGACCAAAAACUCCAAUAUGACCAAGCUUUUUGACGCAUUUCGUUCAUAGAAUACUGAUCCAUUCUCUUUUCAUGAAAUAUAUGUUUUCGAUCUUGUCCAUUUGCAAAUACUUUCUAGUCCACUAACUUGAGUUGGAAUUGUAUUAAUAUAUCAACUUGCCUGUUCUUUCCAUUUUAAAAAAGACCAAAUAACUAUUUUACAAUAUUAUCAAAAGUUAGCAAAAGAAAUUAACAAAAAAAAAAAACAAAGUGAGCAAUAUACCAAAAUAUAUAUAUAGUUGGUGAACCGGACUUUAGGGACGUCUCGAAACUACUUUGAAAACAUUAUCUAUCACAGAUGAAAUUUGUAGUGUUUAAGCGUGAUCAAUCAGUAAAGUGAAUUACGAUGAAUAUAUUUGACAAAAUCAUUUCAUAAAGUUGCACUCAAUUUAAAUGUAUUUAUUCUUUUUACCAGGGUGUUUGUUUUUCUUGUUUUACAUUUUUAAUCUUAAAUAUUUUUAUACGGGUAAACCAUUUAACAAAAAAAAACAUUCUUAUACAGCUAUUCUUCUAAAUUAUAUAAUUUUGUUUUUGUCUUUGUUUUUGUUUUGUUCUAAGAAUUUGUAUUCAAAACAGUUCAAUUGAUUUUAAUUUCCUGCCACAAUAAAGAAAAAAACCAAUAAUCAUUAUUUAUCUUAAAUAAUUUUUUUUUGACAAAAAUAAAAUAAUACUAUUAUUUACCAUCAUGACAAGCUCUUUCUAAAAUUCUAUAUUUUAUAUUCUAUAUUCUAAGAGUAUUUCCAUAGAUUAUGUGGUAUAUUUGGAAGGCGCGAAAUCGAAAGGUUUUCGACAUUUUGAGCGAACCACCUCAGAAAACUCUAAACACUGUAAUUCAAGAAGAAGAGGCAUGGAGGCAAGCAAACCAGCGGGAAGAUCCCCAGCCAGUGAGGAGUGCUGCUUUGCAAGUAGCGCCAAUUUCAUCGGAUAGGCCGGUUUGCUACAUUGAUGGGUCAUGGCAUGGGGCGGAUUCUAGAAGCGGUCAUGGUUGGACUGUUUUGCUUGGAGGAAGAGUGGUACAGUUAGGACUCUUAGGGAUCAAGAAGAAGCCUUUCCCCCCUUCAUGCCGAAUUGGAUACUCUCUUGUAGUCAUUGAAGUGUUUAGUAGCAAUCCCGUUGACUAGUAUCUUCUUUCUGACGAAUUGUUCGGAUUUUUUAGCGAUGACUUCUAACCCCGACGAAUGACCUACUUUUUCUACAGAAUUGAGGAAUUUUGUGUAUUACAUAGAAUUGUUUUCUAUACUUUUGAUAUUAAGUAUAUCUCUCGUAGUGAAAAUACCUCCGCUGAUCAUUUUGUAAAAUGUGCAAGAGUUCGCACGUUCUGUUUUUCUCAUAUAAGUUCGACGAUUUUCCGAUUGGCUCUCUCUAAAAAAGAGUUUAUAUAUGUGAAUUAAUAUAUGGAGUUUGAGUGACAAAAAAAAUAUUGGUCGUUGAUCUGUUUGUGGGCAAAUUUGGAGUAUACCUCUUCGGAACGUUGUUACGUCAAUAAAUACGUCUUUUACUGUAUAUAUAUAUUUUUUUAAAUAGUACUUCAACCUUAUCAAAAAAUAUAUAAAAAAUAUCUUAAUAUAUACUCAAUUUUAGAUACUUUGUAGAAAGACUAUAUAAACAAAACAUGAUAUUUGAUGUCGUAAAUUCAAUAAUUUUGAUGUCAUUGAUCAGUGAUCAGUGACGGAGUCGUUUGGUCAAUAAAGAGUAUCAAUGUAUAACCAUAACUACUUUUUACGUAUUCCUUUAUAUAUUAAAAAAGAGUAUAUAUAAUGGUUUUCGACUUUAAUUACUUUUAAAUAUAUUUGUUAUGCAUGAAUUAUUAAGCGGUCGAAAUCGGAUUCGGAUGCUAGGUGAUUCUGACAUGUGUUUAUGCAUGCUUUCUUGCUAAAAGAUAAGAAACUCUCGUGGGGUUCGCCAUGCAAUUAAAAGUGCGAAGCCAUAAAUAUAAAUUUAGCCAACGCACCCCACGAAUUAAGUAACCACGAGACAAUUUCAAACAUAUUUUAUUACACCAUAUAUUAUCGUCUUUUUCACUAAUUUUAUGUAUUACUAAUUUAACCCUUUUUUGGAUAAAGCUCACACUAAUUCCGUAAUUAUGAACCACUACAAGGUGGGCUAGUGGUAGGACGGAUUUCGUGGUUGAGGGGGUAAUCCCAAUACGCCCGGGUUUGAUUCCCCCUUGCUACAUACUAGUGGCCAUCAGGGAAUUUACAUGCGGACUUGCUCUGGCGCCCGACAUCGAAGACCGUUACCUGGCCAUGACCCAUCUUCGGGUAUGCGUCCAUGCCGUAAGGGUUCGAUCUCUAGUCUGGACCACCUCGGUGGGGCCAGGACACUCGGUUAUCAAAGAAAAAAAAAAAAUCCGUAAUUAUGGCUGCAGCUACUAUAUAAAUUCUUUUUUUUUUUUGUUUUUCAUCAAUGAUGUUAUUACCUUUUCAUUAUAUAUUGGUAGUAUGUGAUAGGAAUAUAUAUAUAUAUAUAUAUAUAUAUAUAUAUAUAUAUAUAUAUAUAUAUCGUCACGAAAAUGUUUUUUUUUUCUAGUCACGGACUCUCGCCGUCAAUUUCAUGCAACAAAUGUAGAAUUUAAAACUUAACGUGAAUCUUGAUUUGAAUAUUUAUGAUUACAAAACUUAACAGGUGGUACAAAAAUUAAAGAUUACAAACAAAAUAUUGCAGCAAAAUAAAAUAUUCAUGAUUUGUGAAUUUAUUUAAUAAGAAUGACGUGGAAAAGAAGCUCGUCAUGAUUACACAUUCCAAAGUGUAGUUGUGGGUGUUACAAUAUCUCAGUAGCCAUUAGUUAUCAUGACAUCAUUCUAGUCAAAAAAAACAACAUGACAAAACUGAAAGCAACAAAAACCUUAGCACAUAAAUGGUUAUGGUGGAAUGAGGAAUUAAUGACGAAAACGCGGGAAACGUCUCUGAAAAAAAAACUGGCGUGCCUUUGAAAAUUUAAUGGAGAUUCAAAAAAGUUUAUACUAAUUACGUAAAUAAAUUUUUUGGAAUAUUUGAGUUUGGACAUCUCAAAGGUCGUAGCCUCGUAGGCAAUAUUGUUUGAUGGAGUUGAGGAAAGUGAAAAUAGUGAAAAAUAAAAUGAUGAUCUUAAUGUAUGAUCACUUUAAACAAAGUUAUGAUUUUAUUAAGAAACUUUAAAACAAAGAAGAAAAAACCAUGCUUUAUAGCGAGCACUUGGUAGAGACCCGUUGUCGUUUAACGAUGCGAGAUUUAUAUAUACUCCCUUGUUCCUACAUAUUUAGUGUUCUAGAGUUUUACUUUGUUAUACAAAAUUUAAUUUUUUAAGUUUUUGUUUUAUUUUUUAUUGAUUAAAAUUAAUAUAUCGUAAACUUCAAGACGUAAUGAUUAACUGUUUUUUAAUAUUAUUGAUUCAAAGUUAUUAAAAAUAUUUAGUAUAAAAAAAUAAUUGACAAAUAAUUAAACAAUGAUUACUUUUUAAUAUAUGUGAAAACUCUAGAACAUCAAUUUUUUAGGAACAAAGGGAAUACUAAAGUACUUAUCAUAUAGUUCCUGAUUUGAUGACUGCUGAGUCAGAGUCAUCAUGUAUAUAUUUGCAUAUUAUGUGUGUUUUCGAUAUGGCUUUCACUUCUUUCGUGUGCCAUUCCUCAGCAGUAUUAUAAAGAAAAAGCAAAGCAAUAGCGAUUUCUUUUUCUGGUGGGUAAUGAUUUAUAAAUAAAGAAAUACUAUUUAUUAAAGUUUAAACAUAUAUAAAUAUAUAACAUGAAAAAUAUAAAGUAAGAAGAAGGCAUAGUAGCCCAACAUAUCCUGUACUCGCCUUUAAGGAAAAAAAAAAUAUUUUUUGAUUUUGUUAACGUUUGCAAUAAUUUCAUAUUUACAGAACAAAAAUUGAAAUAAUGUUCAUAAAUUGUGAGUAAUUGACCGUUUAUUAAUAUGAUUCUCAUAAAUAAGGCCGACGUCAGAACACUUCACAGUUCACACAAUCCACGAGAAGUCGAGAAUCGAAUUAUGUUGAAACUUUGAUCAAACAAAACUGAGUUAGUUUUGUGAUAUUUGAUAUUAUUAUAACUAAAUCAUUUAAAUUAAUUAAAUGGUCUAUUUACAUUUACUGUGGAUUUGCUAAACUAGAUAUCUGUCAAAUUAUGCAGAUUGAAUCAUUCUUUGAGUCAAUUAAGGUCAAAUUUGAUACUGUUUAUUCAUAUAAACAAAUUACAAUAUCCAAAUGAAUCCCGCAACAUUAAAAUCCAAAAAAGCUAAACGUUACAAUACAAGUGAUGAAUAGUCCAAUAAACAAUCAAAACGAUCAUUUUCUCUUCUUCAUAUUUAAUUUCUGAAGACAUAUCGAUCAUUCUAGUUGAACAAGAGUGUUUAGAGCAUGAUUAACAAUGGUAUCUUAAAAAUGGUUCUUAGAAGUAUUAAAGUAAUAAUAUGACAUGUGGUUGGUUCUUAAGGUUAGUUUUGGGUCUUAGCUAAACCACUUUUCUUAGUUUUGGGUCUUAGCUAAGCCAUAUUUCUUAUUUAAGAACUCUUUAAGAUAUCCUUGUUAAUGGUGGUCUUAGAGAAGUAGAUCAAGGAGUCAUCGGUAUAACCAAAAGCUGGCCCAUGUUAACAUUUGUACGGCCUUCCUCUUCCUUUUCUUCUUCCACCGUAUUAGUAGGCAACUUCAUGAUCUUACACUCUUUUAUUUGCUUACUCCUACUCCAUAAAAAUAUGUAUAAACCGAUCACAACCACCACAGAUCCGAUAACGCUGCAACAACAAUAAAAAUUUUAGUCCAUAACAUGCACAUGAUAUAGUAAUUAAGGUGUUUAUAGAGUUUAAUUAUAUACUAAAUCUAGAUUUUUAGGAUAUACCUUCCCAAAUAAAUCACACGAUGAAGAAUCAAGAAAUCGAACAAGGUUGCAGACAUAAGUACGACAGGACUAAAUGAUGAGGAAACGACAGGUCCUUGUUGUUUGAUACACCACGAUAUGCCCACCGUACACAUUCCUUGUGCAACCACGCCCUAUAAACAUAUAUAACCAAACAAUAGAUCAAUAUCUAUCGUGGUUCGAAAUUAUUAAUAUGUCGACGAAAAAUUGUCUUAUAUAUAUACCGCUAUAAUGACGGUGAUGAUGGUUAGCUCGUCUCUGAGGAUCCAAUCUUCCAAAUGUCUAGUCUUGAUUAAACUAAGAAGGGCGCAUUGAAGUGUACCAAAGACCGACAAAAUAACGGUACUCGAGUAUGGACAAGGGUAAUUCACGUUGAUCUUGGCUUGUAUAAGCAUCCAAGAACUGAAAAGAAUAACUCCGGUCAAUAAAAAGAAACAACCUUUGAUCCAAUUCUCAUGUCCUGUGUGGUUGUUUGGAUUUUCUGCUUGUUCUUGAGAGUUUGUUAGUGGAAUGCCUUGAUACAUAGUAAGAAGUAAACCUCCUACUAAGCUUAUUAAAGUUCCAAGAACGACGCCGUAUCCUAUUUUUGUUUUCAAAGUUAGCUUUUCGAACCUGCAAAUAUUUUUAUCACAAUAUUUAGGCGUAAGAUUACACUUGAAAUGAUGAAAAUUUUAUUUAUAUUGACCUUUUUUUAUAAUAAUUAGUACCCAAAUAUUAAAGCCAUAACGAAAGUGAGAGAAGGCAUUAUGGCCCAGAAAGCAGAUCCCAACGUUGCAGACGUGUAGGAGAGUCCAAGCAGGUAGAAAUACUGCAUCAAGCUCGCUCUGAAAAAGAAAGAUUAUAAUAAAAGAUUAUAUAUAUAUAUAUAUAUCUUACAUAGAAAAACAAAUAAAAACAAUAAAGAUUAAUUAGUGGAUUAAAGCCGAAACUUACCCAAAAAGGGCACUGACGAAAAGCUGACAUGAGAUGCUUAGAGUUAGCUUUGGUCUUGUUUUUCUGAACAAAUCAUGAGAUCGAAUAUUUAUUUUGUUCGGCACACACAAUUCUGAUUCCAUAUCCGUUCAUAGAAAACAUUCAUAAAAUUCUCGAAUAAUUUUACAAGUUAAUUUACAAUUGUUUUAUGAAAUAAAUAAAAUAAAAUAGAGUAAUUAAUUAACGAGAAUUAUAAAAGAAAAUAGAUAGAGAUGAAGCAUCAAACGUUUUAUUUUCGUCAUCUUUUAAGUAACAAAAAUUCAUUUUUUUUUUUAAAAACACUGCCCUGAACUUUUAAAUUUUUUGUUUAGUUUAUUAAGCUAGGAAAAGAAAUUUGAAACAAAAAAAAAAGAAGUAAACAUACCGUUCCCAAAAAUAAGCGAUUGGAAGAAGGAAAAGAGUAGAAAUACCCAAACGAUAAGUAGCAAUAACCAUAUGAUUAAUGCCUCCAUCAAGAACUUUCUUAAUCAAAGCGUUAACCAUUCCGGCAAUCAUGUUAGUAACAAUUAUGACGAUCAUCGGUGCCCACUUUCCAUCGAUAAAACCCAUGAUUAGUAUAAGUUAAUUAACUAGUAUGUUAAUUACUUAAUAACCAAAAUGAUCUCUCUCUCUUUGUCUCUCCCCGUCUCGCUCUCUCUCUUAGCUUUUACUCUCUGCUGUCUCUCCUUCAGAAACUUGUUUGAGUAGUGAAGCCUUAAGACUAGGGUGGAUAUAUUUAUAAUUAUCAUGAAUGCUGAGUUGGAGCCCAUUUAUAUUUUAAGAACGACUAGAUAAUGACUUCUUUUAUAACUAUGAAACAUUUUUUUUUAACUGUGUAUAUAAUAUGCUGUUUUUCUUGGUGGAAGAGAUUAGUAGUCAUAUAUUUAUAUAUGUAACUGUGAUGAUGUAUUUAUUGCAUAUAUAUAUAUAUAUUGACUAUAUAUUUAUUAUAAACUGUGCUGGGGCAUGAAUGUAAUAGUAUACGGAUAUGUAAAACUAAUAUAACAAAAAAAGAACAAAUAUAACUAAAUACUAGGAAAUAUAAAACUAAUACAACUACCAAGUAAAGUUUAGUGGUGUAAGAAAUUUAUAAUUAAUUUAUCUCAAUAUGUAAAAUAUGGAAAUAUAUAAUUAAUUAAAAAAUAUGUAAAAUGAAUUUAAGUAAAAACUAAAGAACUGUAACUAAAGAUAUAAAAUUAAAUUGAUAAUAUGAAAAAUUAGAUUUUUGUUUUCUUUUUCUUAUGCAACUAGAACUCACACAAAUACUCACACAAAGCGUUACUAAUGUAUAUACACUAACUUACUAACCCCGGUCCAGUUUGCCGUCAACAUUUCUUAUUAUAUUUAUCAAACUAUGUAGCACUAAUCGAAUUAACAAUUCUUUUGUAUUUGCUCACGUUGUUAAUUACGAGUUCAGUGUAAUCAUUUCAACCAAAUAUAAAGAUGAAUAAAGCUCAAUCAUUGAUUCAUAUCAUCAAAUGAAAGCAAAGUUGCCUUUGUACCGAACAAGGUAUAGUUUUAAUGAAUUAAUAUUUUCCCAAAAAAGAAGAAAAUUAUAAUUUAAAACAUACUUUAACUAUCUCUAAACUUUUAUGUUACGACACCUUGUAAAUUAAGAGUACGCCAAAUUCCUUUUCUGUUUAAAAUUUACUACUAUGUAAGCUUAUUUAUAAUAAGAUAAUCAGAUAAUCCCUUUUUGUAAAUAACAGAUUUUACUAGCUCAAAUUAGGGGCCAAACAGCAAAAAAAAGCUAAAAUUAUGUAUGUAAAUUAAGUCCUAAUAAAACUAUUAACAAAACAAUUUUUUUGAACUUUUAUCAACCAAACAUUAUAUUAAAAGAAAACUCUUUGAUUGAUUAUCUAAGUUCGACAAAAUAAGUUUAUAAAAUAAUUCAAUAAAUUUUAUUUUAGAAAAUAAACUAGACACUCUAGCUCCCCUGAAUGGUAUAUUUAAAAAAACAAAAACUUAAAGAAGCAAGUUUAAAACGGGGAUGUGCCUUUAGUCAAGUGGUUAAGUUUAUUUGACUCCGCCUUCCCCACAAGAGUUCGACUCUACUAAGUCGCGUUAUCCCGCGUAGUAGGAAUUGGAUAUGGAUCGGACCUUGUCGAUCCAAAGACGUUAAAAAAAAAAAAAAAAAAAGAAGCAAAUUUAAAACUAACCGAACUUGUCUUAAAUAGUUAAAUGUAUGGAAAACCCAAUCGUCAAGGGAUUGAGUAGUCCAUCUAAAUUCUGGCAGUCUAUUUUUUGAUCAAAAAUAGUCGACAUACCCAAUAAAAAUUAUAAUUUCCGAGUGACAAUGUGACAUGUUUCAUCGUUAACAUCUAGCACUUAGAAAAAUGUUCGGUUGUCCCUCUUAUUACAAUUCAAACCCAAACCAAGAUAGAAUCUGUAUUUUUCCCACGAUUCGUCUAUUUGACAUUUCAUAAAUGGAUUAUCACUUUCUGCAUCUCCUGAAAUACAGUAGGCUAAAGGGUAUUUUGUGCUGCAUUAGUAGCAUUACCAGCGGAGAAUUCACUUAAUGCAUAAUUUAUAAUCUCCGAUGGUUAAUGGUUUCAACUCUUUAAUUUUAUUUUUUUGGUUCCUUACCUCCCAGAUUAACCACAAAAAAAAAACAUUUACUACUAUUUAAUUUGCAUCAAAACGAUCACCCAACUUUGUGGUGAAGGACAUUCAAAUAACAUAUGUAAAAAAAAAAAAAUGAAUAACGUUUCUUCCACCGGUCCACACAUAUUUGAAAUUUUUUAUUACAAUUAAUUUUUGUUAUGACGCAACCGGAAGUUAAUUGCCAAUAAACUUGUGGCCAUAUGUCAAAUAAAAUGUUUUAAUUUUGGAAAACAAUGGAUUUUCCAGAUCAUACUUUUAAAGCAUUAAAAUUUUGUCUCCUAACAUUUUAGGUAUUGCACUUGUAAUUCCUAACAUUUCAUUUUAUAUGAUAUUUACCCACUUAGUAAAAAAAAAAAAAAAAAAAAAAAAGGUAAAACUCGUAAGUAAACAGAGCAAACCAUUAUUUAACAAUAAAUUCCCCAAAUUCAGUGAAAUGCCAUAUAUAGCUAUAAUGUCUAUAUAAGUGUAAGCCACUACCCUACCCACGAGUAAAAUGUGUAUCUUGUCAUAUCCAUAAACUAUUGAAAAAUAUAUUUUAUUUGAGAGGUAUUUUUAGUCAAAUGGUUAACGGUAUUUCACCAAAGUUUGAUUCAAGCAAAUCGGGUUGUCUCGAGUUUUAAAAAUUGGUUUAUCGACCCAAAUAAAAUGUUAAAAAGUGUUUUUCAUAAUAAUAAAGAAAUUCACAAUUUGCUUUAUAUAUCAUAUAUAUAUCACACUAUGAAUCCAAAAUAUUUUUACUAAAUCAAAACUAAAACCAAUGUAUCUCUCUAUAGCUUACUUUUUUGGGAUACAAGGGAGAAAAUAAACACAGUACUACGUUUCUUCAACUAAACAUCGAUAGAAUACUGUGGUGUAUUUUCGUUGGUACUGCGACCGUCAAUUAAGAAAAUGGUACCAUAUAAUUCCUUGGAGAGCUGAAUAGUAAAAAUGAAGGAAAAUGGUUUCGUCUAAUUAAAUUAAUCUGUUAUUUGUUGAAAAAACGAAAUAAAUGAAAUAAGAUUGAUGAAUGAGGUAAAACUUUUAGAAAGCAAACCAGUGAUCUCUUGAUGUGGUGAUCAUUUACGGUGAGAAUAUAUAUUCGAGGAAUUUGUAGGUUUUAUCUGAUCAUGAUUCGAAUCAGAUACCUUCUUCAGCUCAAGCCGAUCAGCUGUAUUCUACUAGAUUAUUGGGACCUCUUGAUGGUGAUCGAUAACUAAAUGUGUUGGCAAUGUGGAUAUGGUACAAAAAGGUUGAGAUGCCAUUUGAAUCUUCUAAUUCGGUUGUUUGAUUAUGACCUUCGAGAGAUGCUUCUAGCUGUAGAGAUUUCUUGACAGGAGGUGAGCGUAUUUGGAGAGAAUCUUUCACGUAGCCAUGUGUCACACGGUGUGAGUUCCUGAAACGGCAAAUUAUUCCCCAAACAUUACUUACGGUAUAUUCGUUUAGUUCUAACAAAAAUUAUAUGAUAGUGGCAUAUAUAACCUAAACAACUAUCCAAAAAAAAUAAAGAUAUAAUGGUCACAUAUUUUGUCUUGUUUUUCCCUUUAUAUAAUCGACUACAAAGCAAUUAUUUUGUGUGUCUUUUAACUAAUUAGUUCAAUCUUCACAAACUUUAAAAACGUUUCGAAUUUUGUAUCUACUUAUCUUCUUCUUCUUCUUCCACAUCACUACGAAAACAGUUUUUGCCAAGUUUACUUUACUGUAUGAUUUUUUAUUGGUCACUAUUUUCUACAAUAUGAUAUUUUUUCACCUUAUUUAAUCUUUUUUCUUUUUUUUUUUGUUAUACUCUUAAUACAUUUUCUUUUGCCGUCUGGUGUCAUAAAAUUUGCAGAACCCUAAGAGUCCAACCAACUACAUAAUACAAGCAAACCGGCCCAAGCCCACAACUACGGCAAAAGAUAGAAUCUUUUUUUAUUUGGGUUAUGAUUUUCCGUUACUCUUUUAUUAUUCUAACUAGGUAAAAACAUGUGCCAUAUACACCGAUAAAUUUUAACUAUUUAAUAAUAUUAUAGAUAAUCUUAUUCAAAAUAAAGUAUAUAGUAUAUUAAAAAUUUUCAUUACGGGUGAAGAAUACAUAGUGGUUAUUGAAGUAAAAAACUAAAAGAGUAUUUAAAAAACACGACACGAGCACGUCUUCUUGAUCGAAGAACGUCUCGCUUCCGCUAGCAGCCGCCGCCGUGUGCUACAGGUUCCGGCUGGAUUAGGGUUUACUUCCAUUCCAUGUUGUGGUUUCGGAGGAAGAACAAGAAGUGGGCUUGGUCCAUCAAACUCAUCUGGGGACUAUUCUGGCCAAUAAUUAUUUUGGGCUUAAAGCUUAGUUGGACCUGUACAGAGCCUUCCUUGACCUAUCCUAAACCAUUAAACUCGAAUCAGCCUUUCCCUUUUUCCACCAGUAGCUCUGGUUGCAGCCUCCGACUAACUCCACAAAUGCCAGCUUUCUAUCGUCAUGGACAUGGAGGGUUGUUUAUGUUGGUGAUUCGGCUGAACCGCUACCCUCUUAUCCAUUGAUCAGUCCCUCUGACUUCCUCCUGUAUGGAAAUAUCAUUCCUGUAAACUUCUUCCUUUGUGAAGAGAUCAAUUUAAAUCAUUUUCUUCUUUACGAAGAUUUUGAUUCCACCAUUAUCAUCUGUUUUGGAAAGAUUUAUUGUAAGCUCUACUUUGGUUCUAGCCGUACGAGUGGUUAUUGACCACCAGUUGGUCUUGGAUUUAUUGAAAAUUGCUUUCAAUUCUGAAUCCGUCAAGGUUUCUAGAGCUAUUUUCUUAGGUAUAAGUUUCUCGAAGCUUUGUGGCAACCUAUCGAAGAAUUCUGCCAGCCUCUAUCUUUAUAUUGUUGUGUCUUUUCGAUUAUGUAUUUAUGUUUAUAUAAGAACCCAAUCAUUUGAGGAUUUAAUAUAAUGUAAUGUUUGAACAAAAGAAAAUAAAGAAAGAAAAAAACGAGCACUGAAGAUUCUUGAGCGUAAUAUUCGAUCUUGUUCUCCUUUAGAAAAAGUAAUGAGAUUUGUUUUUCACGUUAAUCAUUUUCUAAAUUGAUAACGAAAUUAAUGAAUAUAAUAGUUUUUUUAUGUGGCUAAAAAGAACUCAAUUAUUAAUUAUUAAUAUAACUCAAUUUAGUCACGUAAUUAAGAGUUCGCUAGCUGGUCAAUAAAGAGUCAAUGUAUAACCACCCCUUUUCACGUUUUUUCUUUAUUAGAAAAAGAGUAUACAUAAAUUAUAAUGCAUAUGUCGACUUCAAUCACUUUUGUUGUUUGAAAUAUAUUAUUCUUUCUGUUUCAUAGUAUAUGAUGUUUAAGUUAAAAUCACACAGUUUAAAAAUUUAAUAUUUGAUUUAAUAAAAUUCAACCAAUAAUAUAAAAAAUUCUAAAAUUUAAAUAGUCAGAAAAUAUCAAAUCAUUUAUAAUUUGCCUAAAAAGUUGUAAAACAUCAUAUAAAAUAAAAUGUUUGAAAAAUCCUAUAUUUUAAAACAUGAGGAAGUAAAUAGAUUUCUCAUCCAAAAAGUAUUUUUGAAAAUAUUUGAGCCAAAGCUGUUUAGUAUAUAAUCUUAACCAAACUAAUGAAAGUUGUAUGAAAAAUUAUGAGCUCAUAUAUUGAAUUUGAUUGUUAAUGCAAUUGCCUAAUCAACUUGAUUACAAUUAAGGGGGGUGUAUUGAAGAAAGAAUUUGGAGUGAUUUGAGUUUUAAUGAGUUUUGAGAUGAUUUUGGUGAAUUUUGGUGAAUUAGGAAAUUUGAUAUCAAAACUCUCCCAAAUCCCACCUAAAACCAUGGGAUUUGGAUAUUUGAAUUUUUAACUAAGAUGCUCUCUGAAAUCCCACCAAAAAUCACUAAGUCAUUUCAAAUCCACAACUUAAAAUGUUUCCAAUAACAGUGGAUUUGAUUGUAGAUUUUAAAAUCACUAAUCCAAUAACACUUGAUUUUAAAAAGAUUUUUAAAUUUCAUGUUUGAAUAACAUAAGAUUUAUCUUUUUAAUACAAAUCAUUUCAAAUUCUUUAUUGAAUACACUCCCCUAAGAGUUUAGUAAGUUUAAGUGAUUAUUAAAUAAAAAAAAGUUUAGCAUAGUGAUUAAUACCUUAAGAGAGAAAUAGUCAAAGAUUAUUAAUUAAUUUUUUUUUUGAAUGAAAAUAUUAGUAAUUCAUGUUUUCGGAUUGUGCUUAACUAGGUCUCGAGCAUCUUUAUUGAUCAUAUUUUCAUAGGUGUCUUUAAAAUAAACUAAUAUUAAAUUUAAAGACAUUCUUCAUUUUGGGGAUUUAAAGUGUUUUUCCAUAGACACUUAUCACCUAUUCAUAUAUUUAAAGACACUAUGUUUCUUUUCUUUUAUUAUUUUAUAUUUAAUUAAAGACACUUUUAUGGAGAUGACUAAUGAGAGCAUAUGUAAACAACAUUCCAUAGAAAUGACUUUUUGAGCACUAUUUAAUUACGGAUGAUAAAAAAAAAACUAAUGAGAGCAUCUCCAUCAAUGGUUUCUCAUUGAGAAACUCUCUAUUAAAAAAAAAAUGAAAAGUAAGAAAGAGAAAGGAAAGAGUUUCUCAAACCCACUAUGCGAUUUGUUUUUCUUCUAUUUGUUCAAUUUUAUAUUCGUGAUUAAAAAUAAUCAUAUAAUUAAAAUUUAUUAAAAUAUUUUUUGUUUGAGAAAAUUUUUGAGUUUCUAACUGAUGGAGGAUGGUCUUAUGUCAUGAUUUGAUAUUUUUUUAUUGUUUAUUGAUUGAAACCUGUGAUCUGGUGUCUUCUCGUUUUGUUUAAACUGUUUAAUAUUUCGUUUUCUUACUUACCCAAUUGUUUGUGUCCUUCAGUAAAUCUUUCUACUUUUUCUUUUUAAUUUAUACUAGAUGAAUUUCCACGCUAAGCGUGGGUUUGUUUUGAAAAUUGUUAAGAUAAAUAGGUUAAUUGUUUUUGUCGUUAAUUUAUGUUUACUUAUUUUUUGUUAUUGUAUAGUUAAUGAAAUUAGACUCAUCUUAUGUACUUACAAUUUUUAUGGUUAGAUUCGUUUUUAACUCUAAUUAUUAAUUUAUACAUUUUCAUGUAUAAUUUGAUUUUUUUAUAUCUAAGAUUCUAAUAUUCGUUCACUAUCAUGAAUACACAAAACAAGAAUAUAGGAUAUUUCGAUCUCAAGAGUUUUCGAAUAAAAGAAAGAAAAAAGGCAAAAAUUAAAUAAUUAUUUAAAUAACACUUUUAGAUUUUAUGCUACUGCAUAUAGCCAUAUAAGAGAAAUGGAUUUGUUUGAUUUAUUAAAAUAAUUUUAUAAUUUUAUUUUUGUUUUGAAAAAUCAUUUAGAAAUAGGAUUAAUGGAGGAUUUAACACAAUAGAAGACUUUUGAUUUUCCCUCAAUUAAUUUUGAUGAUUUGUUUAAUUUAAAUAAUGUUAAAUGACACAUGUCAUAUUUUUGUGUGAUGAUGUGGCACUCAUAUGGAGAGAGUUGGCCAACUUUUAUAUAUAUGAUUAAAUUGAAGAAACAUACAAGAAAUAAAGUCCAAAUUAACGGCCAUAGGCCCAAACUAGAAAAAACAACCUUCUCCACCGAUACUUCGGGUGUAAAUGAUGACACUAGUUUGAGGAAUUAUUGAGGAAAAGUUGUGAAAUUUUACUUUGGUUACAUCAUUUACACUAAUGAAAACUUGAGGAAUACUAGUCACAUCAAUUAGUAAACCUUGAGGAAUUUUAGGUUUUUCUUUAUUUUAAUAAAAAUUAAAUUAUUUUUGUAACUAUAAAUAUUUAAAUUCAAUAGUAAAACUUGUGAGUAAAAAAUUCUAAAUUAGAAAAUAUUAUAAAAAGAAAAUUAGUUUUAAGAUUUUAUGGUUUAAAUAAUGUUUGAUUAAAUUAUCAAAUAUAUUAACUUUAGAUUUUUACCAAAAUCACCAAAUUAUAUGAUAAUAAUAUUUGAUAAAACUUUAAAUAUAUUAACUUAAAAAUUCCGAUAAUUUUUGUCAUCUUAAGAACUUUUAGAUAUAUUAGAGAAUUUAAUUCAUUUAAAAACAGAAAUAAUAUUCAUGUUUGAGUAAUUUGAGUAUAUGUCUAAUAUAGUAAUUUUAAAUUGAUUCAAAAUUCAACCUUAUUGUUUAAAAGUUACAAUUUUUUUAGAAUAUUUCGUUUUUAACUAAUUUUGUUGGAUUUUUUUUUCCUAAUUAAUUUUUUAUAAGUUUAUUUGAUUAAUUAAUUUUUCAAAAAAUUCAGCCAGGUUCAGCAGUUACCAUUUGAACUUUAAAUUAUUCAGCCAGUUUCCGCAAGAAAUCACAAAUAAAUUCAGCUAGAUUCAACAAUUCAGUCAGAUUCAGCCGGAUUCCUCGGUUCUCUUACUUGUAUAUAUAUAUAUAUUUCAUCUUUCUAAACUCCCCCAAACAAAAACUUUCAUUACGUUUUAAAUAAAUUGGUUUCUCAUAUUUUUGGUGUGUUAAAAAUUAUAUAUAUAGGUCUUCUGGAUUUGAUAUUUAUACAGUUAUAUGCUACCACAUAUUUUUUUGUGUACUUGUUGAGUUAUUGUUUAGCUAGAUCGAUAUUCAAAACUCGAGUUAUCAUAAACUAGAAUUUUCUUAUGAUAAACUAGAUUUUUUUUUUCGGAAAUAUGAUAAACUGAAAUAUUCUUAGAUUAAAAAUCUUUUUGAAAUACUAAAGAGUAUAUUAGAGAAUUAAUAUAUACAAGAAAACGAUGAUAAUAAAAUCGUAACUUAGUUAGCUCAUCGCGUCUAUUUUUAAAACAGCAUUGGUUUAACAUUUUUUUUUGAUAAAGAACAGCAUUUGGUUAAACAUAUAGUUUAAUUUUUACAAAAUACUUUAUUUAAACUAAUUUCUACGUUAUUUGACAUAAUAACAUUAUAAUUAAUUAAGUAAUACAUAAAACAUAUUAUAGUUUGGCACCAUGUGUUUAUGUAAAUUAUGAUUCAUUUGAAAAAAGAGUAAUAAAAUAUGGAUAAUCUGUGAUUUAUUGCUAUGGAAUGACGUGGAAAGAAGCUAGUCGUGAUUACACAUUCCAAAGCGUAGUAGCGGAUGUUUUAAUAGUAAUUUUAGUGAUUGGCAAAAAAAAUAAAUAAUAAUAAUAGUAAUUUUAGUAUUUUAGAAUUUCCUCAAAAACAAUUAUUUUAUCAUGAGUCAUGACAUCAUUUUUAGCCAAAACAAUUUGAAAAAAUAUUUCUGAAUUUAGUACUACUAACUUUAAUGCAUAGAAGGGAAGAUCAUGCUUUACAGAGAGCCUUUUUAGUCAGUCACUUGGUAUAAACGUUUGUUUGGUAAAAAUAUUAUAAUUUUCCCGACUUGCUUGCAUGCAUGUGUACCGGUGAGUGAGAGUCAUAUAUUAUAAUAUAUACAUUAUAUUAUUUGUUGAGUUAAUUACCGGAUCGGUACUUUUUUUAGUCAAACUUAUCAGUUUGGGUUUAUUUGCCCAUACUUCUGUUUUAAGCAUUCCUCAAACAUCGGAAAAGUCGUUUUUACCCUUGUCACCAAUUGAAGCAAAAAUAAUUGUUUCUUUUUUUUUGUGAACGACAAAAACUUUAAGCUUUCUCCUUCACUUACCAACAUGAAGAUCAUGGAAACCCAGAUCCUAAAGUAAAAAUCGAAGUUGCCAUAGGGUAAAUAGCGAGACGGUGGGAUAGAUCUGGAAGGAGGAAGCAUGCGGCGGUUGGAGGCGGAUUCUCCGGUAGCUCAGCCCAGCGACUGUAGGUGUCCAAGACGCUUUUCUUCUUAAUUCCACCGGAGAAAAAUUGUCAAAAUUUUUAAUUUUUCCAAAAUUCCAUUUAAUUCAGUAGGGGCAAAAAUGUCAUUUAACUAAAUCCAAAAAUACCUAAAUAUGCAAGUCGGGAUAGAAAAACCUAAAAUCAAACUUUUGACCUAAUAAAUGCUCAUUCUCGUAAAUAACCCCAUUAUUUGUUUGGAUCCAAAAUAGUUUUGAAGUGCUUUCACUCAGUUCGUGUGCCAUCCCUCCGCACUCAACAGUAUUAUAAAGAAAACGCCAACUAAUACCAACUUUUUUUUUUUUUCCUGGAAUACUUUCUAAAUAAUAAAGAGUUUAAGAAAGUAUAAAUAUAUAUUAUAAAUAAAUAAAGAGUUAAAUGAAGUAUAAAUCUAUUAUAUAAAAAUAAAAUAAAGGAUGAAGAAGGCUAGGGAUUGAGGCUAGCAAUCUUAGAUGGAGUUUUUGUUUUUUUUUUUUCCUGUCUAAGUGAUAGAUUAUAUUUUCCGAUAAAAGAUACAAUAACGGCGAUCCAAAAAAUGAUCCUGAGACCUAAGCACUAGACAAUAUUGAGAACUACGCCGACGGAUAACAAGAUAUCUUCGGAAUUAGCUAAAACCUAAAAGAGGAAAGCUAAUAAAAUACAAAGUGAACAACACAAAGGAAAGAGUCGAAACUUAGACAAGAGAAACACAAGCAAUAAAACCUGAACCUAACACCAAACAAAUCGCCUAACAUCAAACCACAUGAGAAAAUAUUUUGACAAAGUGGCUAACCGAAAAAGACGAGAAAAUCCACGGCAACGGAGAACGACUUUUCCUUUAAUAAAUAAAGACUACCUCACAAAGAGAAUCAAGGCAUCCAUACCAGCAAGAGGAGAAUUAGGACGGAACAAGUAGAACCAACCACAACUCCACACAAAGGAAAGGAUCUUAGAUGGAGUUAUCAUAAUUAAAUUUUUUAAAAAAUAAUGAAAAAUUAUGAGAAAGAAUAAAAUGGGUAUCCUUAGUUAAGAGUAAAAAAUCCAUAAAAAAAAAAAAAACUCUUGUGCCACUUGUAUUUAUAUGAUAGAGUGGUUCAAAUUAUUUUAAGAAAUUAAAAUUUAAUUAUAUAUCUAAAAUGCAUUUAAAUAUUAGUAAUUUCUUGUUAAGAGACUCAUUUGGAUUUCUUAAUGGAUGGAGAGGUUGUCUAAGUGCCUAUCUUAUCCUCACAUUUAAAAAGAAAUAUUGUUUGAUUUCUUUUGCAAUGAUUUUAGAUGAUUAGUAGUUGCUAGUAGUAACAUCUAAAAUAACUUUAAAAAAAAAAGGCAUAAUAAGUUGUGAAUAUUCACCACUGUCUAUUCGGCGACUAAACGCUUUGAACCCAAAGAGCUGUUGAUUAAUAUAACUAUGGUAGAAGUAUUUCCUUAACUACAUUAUACAUAUAUUCACAAUCAAUCAAUGUUACGUGAAUCCAAAUUAUGAUAUUUGAAGAUCCAAUCUUCCAUAUUUUCUAGUCUUGAACUCAAUAUAUUCAUAUACACACAAAUUAUUUUAUUAGUCAUCUAUCUAUUUAUUAAAUUAAAUUUUAUAUAGAUAUAUAUAUAUAUAUAUAUAUAUAUAUAUAUCUACAUAAUUAGUAAAUUGUAUAUAUAUUUAUAAUAGGAUAUAUAUAUUUUUAUAAAAGUAUCAGUCUUACAAAGCAAAUGUCAAUUUUCUAAAAAUAUUAUUUUUUAAAAAAAACUUACUAAUAACAAUGUGGUAAUAAUUUAUAAAUUCAAAAAUAGAGAAAAUUUUCUAACGCUUCUCGAAUAUUAAAACUGAAAGAUUAAAUUAUGAAAUCCAAAUUGAAAGAUUAAAACUGAAACUUACCCAAAAAAGGGCAAUGACGAAAAGCUCACAUGAGAUGCUUAUUUGAUCCAUUUAUGAAAUCCAACAAUUAUAUUUUGUUCCGAACACAACCUUUUUAUUUCUGAACUCAUUUUAAUAAAAUGUAUAGUAAACUACACUAAAUAUAUGUAUAAAUAUAAUGAUAGUUAGCUACACGGCUACACCAAAUAUAAUUGGUAUAAUUAAUUUAAUAUAUAUUUGCAAAUUUAGGAUAUGUCACCAUUCCAUGUCUUAUAUUUGGCGUAGCUAUCAUUUUCUCAUUUAUAAAAGCCAACAAUUGUAUUUUGUUCUAAACAAAACUUUUAUUUCUUAACUUAUUUUCCUUAUAAAAAUCUUCAUGUAUAUAAUUUGUAAUUUCAAUUAUUAUUAUUUUGUUCGCAGAAAAAAGUAGUAAUGCAAAUAUUAAGUAUCAAACGUUGUUAAAGAAAAAAUUCCUCAAUAGUAACCAAAAUUCAAUUUGUUUAGUUAUUAAGCAGUGAUUGAUCAGAAACAAAGUAACUGAAAAUUUAUUAAAAAGGAUUUAAUGUUCCCAAAAAAAUAAGCGAUUCGAAGAAGAAAAGGAAAUACCCAAACGAUAAGGUAGCUAUAAUUUAUCUACUAUACAUUUUUGCAGCAGUUUUUGGGGUACCCAAAUCGGGUCAAAUUUAUUUAAUUUUGACCCGGAAAUCUUCAAUCGGAUCUUUCCUUAAAUUUUGGCAAAAUUAAAAAACGAAAAUAAUUAAUAAAAUCUAAAAUAUAUAUACUUUCUCAACUAAUUACUAUAUUUAAACGCUUUAUUUAUGGUAUAUUCUCCACGAUUUUUAUAGAUAAAGAAAUCAAAUAUGAUGAUUUAAUGCUAAUAUAACAAAUUUGCACUAAUUUCCUAAAACCUCUCUACCUAAUUUAAACAUAAAUAUAUGAUUCUUAUUUCACUUUUAUUUGAUCUUAUAUUUAUAUUAUUUUAAAUUAUUAUAAAAUAUAUAAAUAGUUAGUAAAUUUUAGUUUUUUUUUUCUGCAUAUGUUACAAUUCAAAUUUUUAAAAACGGACAUAUAUUACUCAAUCGAUGAAUAAAAAUAUGUGUGUAAUCAAUAUUAACAUUUUUAAGAACAAAUUGAGCAUUUAAUCAUGUCGUUAUUUUAUUCAGACCCGAAAUUGAGUCAUUCGGAUCUUUCUUUAAUUUUUACAAUUAUCUAAAAUGGGACAGUAUAUCACGGGUGAAAUCCUAAUUAGUAUUUUAAGAUACAAUUAUAAAUUGUUUUUACGGGUUGGUCCAAAAACACACAUUAAUUUAAAAAUAUACAUGGAAACUAUUUGAAAGCAACUUUCAAAUUAACUCGAAUUAUAUGACAUUUAAAUAAAAGUGUUAUUAAAAAAAUAACAAAAUGAUGUUUAAUUUCAUUUUAGAUUAUAUGGUUGGACGGGUUUGGGUCAAUAUUAAUACGAGACAAUAUACCACAGGUGAAAUCCUAUAAAUAACAAAUCAAAAUACAAUUAUACAAUCUUAAACACUAAACAAAACAAAUACAACUUAAAAUUUUUUAUUUUAGAUACAACGCAUGUUACCCGCGGUAUACAACAAAAAAUAUUAUACACAAUAAAUUCAUCAAUUUAUAAAAAUAAAAAAAUCAAAUAAUUAACCCGCGGUGUACCGCGGGUCAUAUCCUAGUUAGUAAGUAUUAACCAUAUGAUUUAUAUGCCUCCAGCAAGAGUUAUCUUAAUUAAUGCGUUAACCAGUCCCACAAUUAAUCAUGUAUUCAUGUUAAUACUAGUAAUAGUAAUUAUCAUGAUCAAUGGUGCCCAUUUUCCAUCGACCCCAAGAUUAAUUAGGAAAUUAACUAUAUAUUAAUUAUUUAAUAAUCAAACCCCUCUCUCUCCCUGACUUGUAGUAUUCUUUAUCUAUUCUUUAACAACUUGUGCAAGUAGUAGUACUGAAGCAUAGAGACAAACAAGGUUGAUAUAUUUAUAUAUAUCCUACUAAAAUGAAUAAGAAAAUGAAGUAUUUAAAGAACGAAUUCCUACUCCUUUUUUUGUGAAUUAUGUAUAUAUAUAUGAUAUGAUACAUUUUGGGUGGAAGAGAUCAAGAGAGUACAUAGUAGUUCUAUCUUUCUAAUAUUAUACUUUAAGAAUCUAAGGUUUAGCUUUACCUUUACCUUUUGUUUUUGUUCAAUCAGGUAAUAAAAGUUUAUUAAGUUUUUUUGUAAAUUAGGAAUUUUCUAGUUAACUUCAUUAUUAUCGAUAGACGAUAAACUUAUAUACUCUAUAAACUAGAAUAAUUUAGAGAUAGUAAGUAUGUUUUAAACUUUAUUUUUUGCUUAUUUAUUAUAACUUUCCUUUUGUUUGAUGAUAAUGAUUCAGCUUUAUCCAACUUUAACUCUCUGGAAUGAUGACAUUGGACUAUUAUUUACCAUACGUCAAUUUACAAAGAUUUAGAUACAAAUUAACUUAAACAAGAGUAAAUACAACCAAAUUUUGUUCUCUCGUUUUCAUUUAACCACCAGACCAACCCGAAUACCCGAAACAUUUUUUCUGCUUCGUUUCUUGCUUCAAAGCAUAGCCUAUCGCGUAAUGACAGAAUGAAACCAGCAACACGAUUGUUCUCUUCCAAGUUAUAUGCAUGGCAAAACCUCACGCCGUCGACAAAAUUGUGAGAUGUACAAGCUCAUAGCCAUUUGAACUCUUGGUGGUCGAUCGUGGUUGAAGAUGCAAUUAUUUUAGUGUUCUCUACUAGUCGUCGAAAUAGUACAUGAAGUAGUACAAAAAGUGAUUCAGGAAGUUGAGAUGCAUAACUGAUGAUGAGGAGCUCGAGUACUUGGAUUUAGGAGUGUGUGUUAAGUCAAGAAAAAGAAAAAUUAUCUUUGUCUGAAGACAAAAUGAAUCAUAUAAGCAAAAAGGAAGUUUGCUUGAAGAGAAAAAAAAAAUUGGCAAAAAGAAAAACCUUUUUCUCAUGGAAUUUGGAAACAUGUCUUAUGUGUGAUUGGAGAAAUUUGAGGUGCAAGUUUCUGUUUGUUAUAUAAGGGGAACGUGACCUUAUGAGAAUGUGGAUUUAAAGAGAAGAAAAAAUCCCAAAAGAGAUUCAAUGUGAGAUAUUGUGUGUGAUCGUGUGCGACGUAGUUUCGCGGGUUGGUGCUUGUGUGAUCAAGCUUAUUUAUGUGUUGGUGUUGACGUACGUGUUGGAGUGUUUUGGUGAUCGUUUGGUACGUCCGUGUGACGAUUCGUGUGUGGUGGUCAUUAGAGAAACUUUGGAGAAUUGAAGUCUAGACUUAGGGGGAGUUUAGCUCAGGGUUAGGUAAUCCUGAUUUAAUCUAGGCUCAUGGGAGUUUAGUUAAAGGUAAAGAUUUAUCUUUAAGAUUUCAUGUUAAUAGAACGGAGCGGUGAAUCAAGAGGGUUGUGUUUGGUUUACAUGUUUACGAAUAGCUUGCAUUUGCUUUCUUGUUCUAGUGAAUUCAAAAUCUGGACGUGGUCCCGGAGAGUAGAAAAAACUAAGCUUCGUAAACAAAUUCUUGUAUCGAUUACUUUCUGCAAUUUAUCUUAUCUCAUCCACACUUACAGUGGUUACGAUGAGCUUCUCCAAACCUGGUCAUGAUCCCUUUGAAUCAACUCCUCCGCUCUCUCUUUUUCACAUCUUAUUUUCAGCUUUUUCUCUGGCACUCAAAAUUAGAAGUAUUUGAUUGUAAAUAAGUUUUUUUUUUUUUAUUGUAAUAAAGUUUUACAUUGCAAAGAAGAAACAUGUGGACUAGUUUUCUGAGCCGUUGUUAGACUAGUCCAAAAGAUGACCGGUCACUGGUAUUACAAAAUAAUGUACGAAGUGAAGGAAUAAAAAAGUCUAAUCAAAUCAAGGAGUCAUUGGAACAACCAUAAGAUGACCCUUUUUGUAUUGUUCAUCAUCUUCUCCUUCUUCCUCAUUAAAACGACAAGGCAACUUCUUUUCACACUCUUCCUUCAUUAGCCUGACUUUUCCCAACAAGAAUAUGUAUAGUCCGAAGAUUACAACCCCAGAUCCGAUAACACUACACAUAUCAAAAGAACAUUCACAUUCAAAAUUCAUAUGUUUUAUAUAUAAUUUUUUUUGGUGUAAAUAUAUAGUUCGACGUACCUUCCAAGGAAAAUUUGACGGUCAAGGAUCAAGAAAUCAAAUAGAGUUGCGAAUAUAAGCGCCACCGGGGUAAAAAUAGAAGUAAAGAUAGGUCCUCUCUUUCUGAUGCACCAAGACGUUCCCACCGUACAUAUUCCUUGUGCUACCGCUCCCUAUAACACGUUGUGAUACAUAGGUCCGCAUAACUUAUAUUUUACUAGAAAUUAUAAAAUUAAACAAGUACUGCAAAAAGACCGUCUUUUUUUUUAUACUAAUAUUAAAAAACUUACGGCGUAAAUAAUGGUAAUGAUAUCGAGUUUAUCUGUGAGGAUCCAAGCCGUGAUAUCUCGAGAUUUUAUGAGGCUUAGAAGGGCGCAUUGGAUGGUACCAAAGAAGGAUAACACGACAGUACUCGAGUAUUGACAAGGAUAUUUCUCGUUCACUUUGGCUUGUAUCAGCAUCCACGACCCGAAACAGCUGCUACCCGCAAAGAGAAGUGCGCAUCCGAUUAUCCAAUUUUCGGGUUUCAUUGCUGUUUUAUUGUAUAUCAACUGAUGGGUUUCUAGUUUGUGAAGUUUUGUCAAGGGAAGACCUUUGUACAUUGUGAAUAAUAAAGCUCCUCCUAUGCAUAUCAAAGCGCCCAUCACCAUCCCCAUACCUGCUUUGCUUUUCAUGUUUAGCUUCUCUACCCUACACCCAAAAAAAAUGGGUUUACGUAUUAAACUUAAUUUGUCAAGUUAUAAUUGAAAUAUUAGACAUUUAGUUUACCUGAAUAUUAGAGCCAUAACGAAUGUAACCGCAGGUGUCAUGCUAAUAAAAGCACAAGCUAACGUAGCCGAUGUGUAUGACAGCCCCAAUAGGAAGAAAUACUGAGUCAAACUUGCCCUAAAAUAUAAUUAUAUUUCAGUACAAAAAAAGUUCUAAUUAGACUGAAAAUCGGUUAGGAUAUAAUACAACAACGGGAUAGUUAUGAAAACAUUCUAAGUUUUCUAUCUAAUUAAAAAAAAUUGUCUCUCUUUUUCAAGACUAAUAAAUCCGAAUUCCAAAAUUGUAACUCUUAAAUCUUAAAUUCUUAAUCGAAAAAUCUAAACAAAAUGGUUUAUUUUUCUUAAUUUUUGAAAUAGCCAUCCUAUUUUUGUUUAUAAUAUUUCCUUAUUAUUCCUGCAGCUAUUAGGAGUUCCGGGCAAAAAAAAAGAACGAACCCAACAAGAGCACUGAAGAAAAGCUGAACCAAGAUGUUGAGCGUAAGUUUCGGUCUUGUUUUCCUAAAAGCAAAUAAUGAGUCAAUUUUAUCAUUAAUCAUUACAAAAAUAUAUAUCAUCAAGAACAAAGUUAAUUAUUGAUUAUAAUUUUUGUUAAAAAAUUAAUGAAUAUAAUAUAUUACCGUUCCCAAAAAUAUGCGAUUGGUGCCAAAAAUACGGUAGAAAUAGCGAGACGAUAUGUUGCGAUAACCAUAUGGUUAACACCACCAUCGAGUACUAUUUUAACCAAAGCGUUACCUAAACCCAGCGCCGAAUUAAUCAUAACCAUGAUAAUCACCGGUGUCCAUUUACCAUCGCAGUAACCCAUUCUUAAUUUACUAGUCGACUACUAACAAGAAAAAGUAAUUACGUAUUAUGAAUAAGUUAAUAGCUAAUCUCUCUCUUCCUUUCUUUUUUUUUUUUUUUUUUUUUUUUUUUUUUUUUUUUUCUGUUUGUGUUUCUCUAAGGGGGUUUGUGUAUAUGAAUGAUUGAAGGAAGAAGAAACUGGUAUAUAUAGAGAUUUUGUUCACUAGUCAGUAGUCAUAUAUUAGUUAUUUGUAUUUUAAUUUUUAUUUAUUUUAGAAUAAAGUAAGAAUUUGUAAAAACUAAAGCUUCUCCUGUUUCUCUUUUGAUUGCCGCAACCCACAAGUUUCUCGAUGAGUUAGACAGAUCAUGACAUUGACGUAGACGAUGAACAUUUUUAUUAAAAGAAUAUUUCUCUCUUAUUGUAACCGAUAGUUCGUAUGCUUCAUGCAGUACGUUAAUUCUUUACUAAAAAUGAAACUAUAUUAUUUUUUCAAAAAAAAAAAAAAUGAAACUAUAUUAUAAAUUCUAUAUUUAUAUACGAACAGAACAAACUAUAAUGGUAAAUUUCUAACUUUGCUUUCCCUCACGUUUAAUUAUUCUUAUUCUGUUAUCUGUAGACUGUAGUUUAUAAAUGAAAUGAAUAAAUUCUACUUUCUAGCUAUUAUAAAAAAAAAUAGACAAAUUUGACUAAGAAUUCAUACAAUUUAGUCAAAAGAGUGUUAACAUUGAAUUUUUGAUAAACCAUAGUAGUGAAAUGGUAUGUAAUUUACUCUAGUUGUCGUGGUCAUCAAUUAAUUGAUUGUUUUUGUAUUAGUAAUUGUAAACGCUUUAAAUAUUUGAAAACUUAAGUUUUUUACAUGGAUAACCUCUUAGUUCAGGAUUUACUCAAAUGUAAUAGAUACUUAAAAAAUAAAUAUAGAUACCUUUUGUUUUCUAAAUAUGUGAUCAUAUUUGAUCUAAAUUGUUUUUUUUUUUCUUUUCCAAACUCUAGUUAUCGAAGAGCAUAAGAGCGUUUUUUAACACAGAUUUUAAAAAUAAGAUUUUCUUUGAAAAACUAUUAAAAUUCACUAAAUAUACAGAAGUUGCUAGAGAUGUAGGAAUCUAGGUGACAUCUCAUCUUAAGCAUUUUAUCUAUUUUGGGAAAUGUAUUUGAAACUGUUAAAAAGCUAGGCUUUUACCCUUUUUAGUAAUUUCCACUGGACCUCUAACAUGCACUCAUGUGUGCAAACCUUUUUUUUUUUUGGGGGGGGGGGGAUUUGCAAAGAUAUAACAUUAGGUUUAAAUUAGGGCUCUAGUUUUUAUUAGCAUAUAACCCAAAUGAGUUACGUGAGAAUACUAAAUAUUGUCAGAUGGUCAUCAGUCUAUCACAAGCAAAAGUGUUAUGCUUAAAUGUUUUACGGUAACAUAUUAUUUAUUAUAUGGUCAUUAGUGUUUUUUUUAUUGCUAUUAAAAUUACAUACAUGGUAUUUAUGAUAUGUACUGAUUACAAAUAAUCUUGUAUCACUCGUCCGACAGAGACACAAAGCUGAGCCAGAUUUUAAUUUAAUUUUUCAUAAUUGAUAUUGGUUUUUAUGUCAUUAACCAAACAUUAUUCAACUGGUUGAACACUACAAUUUGUUAAUAAAAUUCAAGUUUUUUCGAUCCAAUUUAUAAUAUUGUUGUUUUGGUUAAGUAAAUUUGUUAUAUAAAAUCUAGUUAUGUCGUUUCUUACUUUUCAUUUUCAUUUUUUUUGUUCUUUAUGUUUUUCUUUCCCACUGAUUUGAUCAUGUUGGCUUUAGUCUUCUUUUGGAAAAGUAAAGGAAAGUUAAAGUGAGAUAAAGCUUUUUUAUUUCUUUCAAGUAAAAUUAUAGCUAGUCGGCCAAUAUGAUUUCUUCGAAAGAUAAUGGGCUUAUUUGCAGCACUAAAUGAGAGCACAAUUUGCAUAUAAAUAUAACGGAGUUAUCGGCAAUAACUAAAAACUAUUGGGCUUUAUUUUUUGGCAGACAAAAAAAAAAGAGAUUGAAAAUGCCUUAUGAUAUAAACGAAGUGGCAUGACUUCGGUCGUAUACCGAAUUCAGCAAGACACUGUAACAUCUCGAACGUGAUCGUUCCUAGACUAUCAUGUCCAUUUUAUCAAAUUGAGUUAAUGUAUUUUGUGAACAUAAUAGUCAAAUCAAUAUUUAACUCUUUUCACACACACAUGUGUUGUAAUUGAAAGAGAUUAUAUAUAUAGUUUUGAUCCGUUAUAUUAUAAAUAUAUGACCAACUAUAUAUAUAUAUAUAGUAAUAUAUAUGACCAACUAUUCGUCUUUAUUUUAAUUCAGAAACUUGUUUUUCUUCUAAUUUAACAUGAAAUAGAAAACACUUUAGAAAGGUAUGUCUAAACAAAAAACUCAUAAAAAUGUUAUUUGAGAGUGGCUUUAAAUAGAAUAUAAUUCUAACUAAAGUAUAGUGCCAUUUAAUAGUUAAUCUUAGAUACUUUACCAAAAUUAAUUGUAACUGGUUCUUAUAUUUAUAGUGCUUCACUAAUAGAGUUUGAAAUCCAACAUUAUAUGAUUAAAGCUCUUAUAGCGAUCAUUUAAAUUUUUAUGUAAUUCAAAUAUGAUUUCGACUCUGGAACUUAUUUCAUUUGUAAACUAUACCUAUCAAAAGAUUUUAACAUUUUACAUGCAUAUUAUCAUAAUCAUCAUAACCUCCGUAUACUAUUUUUAUUAUUAAAUAUGUUAAGUUUCAUACGCUUCUAACUCAAAACCAAUUGGUAAUGAGUGGAUUGGCCAAAAUCUCUUAUAUACUAUUCAAGUCCUUUCCCAUCUUUCCAAUGUGGGAUCUUUCUCCACACACCCCCUCGAGAUAAUGCUCUUCUAGCUAUCUCGAUAGAAUUGAGCCUUCUUUUAGGCUAUCAAUUAAUGGGGGUGAUCAGGCCACAUUCCGGGCCGAAUUAAUGGGUUAGCGUAUGAUCGGGCUCUGAUACCAUGUUAAGUUUCAUGUGCUUCCAACUCAAAACCAGUUGGCAAUGAGUGGAUUGGCCCAAAUUCCUUAUAUAGCCCAAAUUCCUUAUAUACUACUCAAGUCUUUUCCCAUCUUUCCAAUGUUGGAUCUUUCUCCAAAAAAAUAUAAAAUGUAAUAUUUUACAUCUCCCGACUUUCGUCUGAUUUCCUCACCUUUAAAUUUUAACAAUUAAUUAAAUGCCCACACCGCUUUUGAUAAACAUUUUUAUAAAAACAGAUCUUGUUGAAGUAUAAGGAAACCGUAAAAACACUAAAUUAUUUCUCUUAUGUUUUAGGAGCUUUGUUUUUGAUUAUACGUUAUUUAAGCAUUUUAGUAUAUUUUUUCUUAUGAUUAUAAAUUUAUAACCGGCUUUUUUCAUUCACACAAACAUAAACCAAUAAGUUUGUUAUCAUUACAGUUUUUGGGUCAGAGUUGACACUACACUUUAAAUUUGUAUCUAGAAUACCAUUCAAAAUUAAUCUGACCAUCGGCCCAAUCGUGGCCUAACAGUUUCGGGCCGGUCAGUCCGGUUAAGACGCGAGCCUUAUCUCUAAAAUGGAGAAAUUAAGCGACAUUAGACCAUCAUUAACGGUGAAUUAAAUUAAAUGAAAAAUCUUGUUAAUUUUAAUCUAAGAAACGUUUCUUAGUUAAGAGACAAAAUUAAACGUUUCUUAGUUAAAUGAAAGGGAUUUUUUCUCUCUUUCUUUCUCUCUCUCUCAAAUCGCGAAAACAGAGAAACGAGAGCCGAUUUUGGGAAACUUCAAUCGGAACAUUGGAGACUCCAGCAAUGUUUAUGACCUCCGGCCGUCCUACCGGAGCUAUCUCAGCAUCUCCACCGACGCGGGGUGUCCACGGCGACGAGGAGAAGCUCUAAUCGGCGAGUUUGGCAAAUCGAAAUCGAAGAGACUGUUCACAAAAUCUCCGAUUUGUUUGAGUGUGGGGAUUAUUGUUUCUAUUAAAUCCGAUUGUUGUCUCCGAUUGUUUUGUUGCAUCAGUGUUGAUUAUUGUUUCGAGUAAAACUUUGUGGGAUCUUAAUUUUAUUCUAUAAUUUGAUUAGUUUUUGUUGUUAUACCUCAUAUUAUUAGGUUUCGUUGAGAUUUAUUUGUUGAAAAUUGAUGUGUUAUUAAAGGUGAAAGAAAGCCUAGAGGGAUACAGAAAAAAUCUGCAGAGCACUAUUUAAGAAGUUGGUUUUGUGGGUUUCUUGUUAUUUUCGUGAGAUUUGAAAAAUCUUGGGUCGUGAAUUUUUUUUUCUUUGUGUAGAUGGUGAAGUUUUUACAAAACAUGUCUUGCUUAGCUUCAAAAGUUGUAUAUUUGCGUUAUUUGCAUCAAAUGUAAACUGUCAUUUUGUGUUAAGAUAUGCAUGUUCCCUAGCGUAACACUUUUUUUUUUUCCAAAUUUUUAUUAUAUCCAAUUUGAAUAUGCGUGAUUGCAUUGCUGCAAGCUAGCAGUAAUACUAAAACCGUACGUUGAUAUCAACCUUUUUAAACCAUUGGCUUAUGAGUUCCAAUUUGCAAUUUUCGGUAUAUUUCGUAUAACAUUUGGAAUAAUAUAUACAUAGGAGUUUAGGGUUUAGGUAAAAUUGUUGGAAUUGAUCACUAAAUCAAACUAUUACACGUGACACCAAAAGAAACUUGUCUGCUAUAUUAUUUUGUGAAUUUACUUCUAACUUCUUCGUAUAUCUUUUUAAAAUUCUAAUUACAAUGCCAUUGGUGGAUAUAAGAAGCUAUUGGAAUCUGAGUAUGUGUGCAUGAGUGCAUCAACUUAUCUUAUUAGUGGAAAAUGACUCAUAGAGCGAAUUAAGGCUGCGAAGCCGAUGACGAGACCUACUUAGAUAGACACAUUACUGAACUUUAUAUGUUAGGUAAUGAUUUUAAUACCUUUCAAAAAGUAAAUCAAAUUGUGGUUCUAAUCACAUUAGAGAUGAGACCUAAUCGAGGCAAUGAUAUUUUUUAGCUAUUAAAACAUAUAAAAGAGAUUUUCAAUUUAAAUUACCAAAAGAAAAAUUUACAGUUGGUAAACUUUCGCUUAAUGUGCUUAAAUAUUAAAAUCAACUUAAUGUAAAACUUUUUUUUAGUAAUUAAGCACAUUAAAAUCAACUUAAUUUAUUUUCUUUUUUUGGUAAUUUAAGCACAUUGUAAUUUACAGUUGGUAAACUUUCAAAUAAACAUAUACAUAUUUUUAAUUAAGUAAAAUGUAAUAAUCAUUGAAAUCAACUUAAUGUAACAUAAUGACAAACUAAUCCAACUGGUUAAUUAAUUCGGUCUGGACCUCUCUCUCUUUUAUUUCCGAUUAUAAACCAAUCCAACUGGUAAAUUACAUUGAGUAAUUAUCUUUAAUUCUUUGGAGUCCCCAUUGAGUGAAUUAAACUAUCACACUAGCUCCGAAUAAGUUGGAAAUACAUAAGAACAUAAGUCUUACAAUAUAGAGCUGACCAAUGACAGUACUAUCACGAUUAUGAUAGCCAAUAUAUAUAUAUAUAUCUACCUCUAUAUAUAUAAAUAAUAUGUCAAACGGGCAAAUUAGUAUCCUUAUGAUUUGUUAUUAUAUGGUCUUCGUUUUCAUUAUUCUGACAAAACUGGGAACUGUUCAGAGUCGUCGAAACAGACUGAUCUGUCUCAAUCUUCCUUCCCCAGAGAAACACGUAAAGGCCUGUUAUAGUCACUAGCGAUCCAAGUAUGCUGCAUUUUUAAAAAUAUAAACGUAUCAGUGCAUGCUUGGAUCGACUUUAUAGUCUAUACUAUACACUAUAUGAGAUGAUUUGAGAAUGAAACCUGCCGAGGUAUAAAGGAGAGUGUAAGAUGAGGAAGUCGAAUAAGGUAGCCGCGACGAGACUGACGGGGCUGAAUGUUGAGACGAAAACUGCUCCUGUCAUUUUUAUGGACCAUGACGUUACCACUGUCGACAUCGCUUGUCCCACUAUUCCCUAUUUUAUUUUUCAUCAAUUUAAUCAAACCUUUUUAUAAUUAAUAGUGUUAUAAAUAAUCAUAUAAACUGUUGAAAAUAUCUUAUAAAUUACUAUAACAGCGUUUGAAAAAUGAAUAUGAAAAGGAUGUAUCAAAAAAGGAUUACAUGUGAAAUUAAGCACAUUCCAUCUAUUUUUAUAGCAAGUAUAUAUGUAAUAAAAUAAAUUAAGCACAUGGAGUGAAAAAAAUGACGAAAAGAUAUACCGAUUUAUCUCAAUAACCUAAUCUGUUAACUAGAAAAAAAUAGAAUUAUACUUUGAAAUGAUAUAUAUGACUGGUUUGAAAACAAAAAUCAACGAAAAAACUAAAAAGGAGAUUUAUAAGAAAGAAGAGAUUAUAAAUUACGAGGAGCUUUUAGAAAAGGGUCACAAUAGAUAAGAUGACUAGGCUUAAAGAUGACAUUUAGAUAUCAAAGAAGCAAACUUCUAACUCUUCUUUUUUAGUGCCCAUGCAUUUUAUGAGUAUAUAUUAUAUCUAAUGAAAAGAAGACGGGAAAAACUUACAGCGUAAAGGGUGAUGAAAAUGACGAAUUUAUCUUCUAUAAUCCAAUCUUUGACGUCUCUACUCUUGUAAAGACUCAAAAUAGCACAUUGAAAUGAAGCAAAGACUGACAUGAGACAAGUGCUUGAGUAUUUAUUUCCAGGAUACUUAAAGCUUAAUUUCCCUUGAAACAACAUCCAUAGAGACAACAACACUGUCCCAAUGAUCAAAUAAAGACAGCCUAGAAGCCAUUUCUUUGUUUGGUCGUGACCGUUGUUAUGUAACGUGUUGUUGUUGUGAAGAGCUCGUGGAUGAGAAUGCGGGUUUGAUAACUCUGGGCCUUUGUAAAAUGUCAAUAACAUAGCUCCCAUUAUGCAAAUUAGGGUUCCCAUUACUUUGAGAACACCUGCUUUGCUCUUCAGGUUUUGCGCAUUCUCUAUCCUGUUAAAUUUUUUUUAUGAAAGUUAUUUUUUGUUUGUUUUAAUUACUAAUUAAAUUAGUUGCACUACCUGAAAAUAAGGGCUAACGCAAAGGUGAUAGCAGGUAACAUGCUAACUAGAGCCAUCGAAACAGUUGCUGACGUGUACGAUAGUCCAAGUAAAAAGAAAAAUUGCAUCAAACUUGCCCUGCGUGCGGUAUUAAUAAAAACCAUACAUAAAUAAACGAAAAAAAAAAGUAAAGCUUGUAAUUAAUAAGAGAUAACGUGUUGGACAGCUCUAUUAUUUGUUUUUUCUUCUUUUUAAAAGUAAAUUAAAUCAUUAAAAAAAGAGAGGAAAUUGCGUAAUGGAGUAUAUAACCAGAACAAGUGAAAAGGACAAACCCAAGUAAUCCGCUGAUGAAAUGUUCGCACAAAAGCAUGAGCGUUAGCUGUGGCCUUGUUUUCCUAUAACAAACUCAUUUAAAGAGCAAAUUAACUUCAUUACUUUCUUUUUUUUGGUAUCAUAAACUUCAUUACUUACAACAAGAUAAUAAAAACUUAUAACUUUUAUAUACAUACAUACAUACAUGAGAGGAUAUCCAAUAAUAUUAAAACUUAGUUUCAUCAUGUCUCAAUAACAAAAAAAUAGAAAAGUUGAUAUAUAUCAACAUUACAUAACGUUUGGAUUUUAACAGAUCAAAUGGCACAUGAAAAGAAUAGAUGUUGAUGUUGUAUUACUGUAAUUCGAAAAGUUUAAACAAUCAUGGACAGUUUAAAUAUUGACGCAUAAAAAUCAAAUCAUAUAUGGAGAAAAAAUCAAGAGUAGUCUGAACUUUAACAUAUAAUGAUCAAAUCAUAUAUGAAUGAAAACAGCUAUUUUAUUAUUGUAAUGGUAACAAUUUAUACGUAGUUGAAAUUUUGAAUCAUACAUAUUUCUUAUAAAAAUACGAGAACAUAGCCAGAGAACGUUUUUUUUGGACAUAAGCCAUACUAGAAAAAAAGUAUGUAAUUAAAGAUGGUUUCAAAAUCUGAGUUUUGACGCAUAAGAAUCAAAAUGUUCAUACCUCUCCCAAAUAAAAGAAAACGGAACCAAGAUUAGAGCAGAAAUAGCCAUUCUAUAAGCACCAAAGAUCAUAUGGUUAACACCAACAUCAAGUGCUUUCUUAACGAGAGCGUUCACUGAUCCCAUUGCAACACUUGAUAUUAACAUUACUAUUACUGGUGCCCAUUGUUCUUCCUUCACCAUCCCUCUCAAUCUCUCUCCCUCUCUCUCUCUCUGAAUAUUUUAUUUUAUUAAUUAAGAUUUUUUUAUAGUUUUUGUUUUCUGUAAUGUCGAAUGUUUUUCUUUGCGUUUGGCAACCACACGCCUUCCCAUCUACUUAUAUUUAUAAUAAAGUUUGUGGGUGGUUGCCACAUAGGAUAUAUUUUUUUGUUAGCCUCAGUGUAUUAGUGUUCUAGAAUACGCUAUACGCUAUGCGUAUGCUAGAACACCGUAUGCGGAGACUAUACGGUGAAUAUAUUUUUAAGAUAAAUAUAUAUAUAUAUAUAUAUAUAUAUAUAUUAUAAUUUAUCAAAAUAUUCAAAUAUAGUUACAUAAUUAUAAUAAUAAUAAAACAUAAAUAUAGUAACAUGAUGAAUACUAUACAUGAAUAAAAAAAAUAAAAAAAAUUUAACUUUACAAAAUAUUUUUAAAAUUUUAAAUAACUAGUAAGCAUAAAAAUAAUAGAAAAGAAUUACAAUAAAGUUAUUUUAUAGUUAAUUAUUAUGAUUAAUUUUUUGAGAGCCAAAUUAAUAAUUUUGUUAAAUCAUUUUUCAAACAUUAAUAAAAUGCCAUAGUUUUUAUUUUUGAGCAUUUUUUUUUAAAAAGCGCCGUAUAUGCGGAAUUCACCGUAUAUACGCCGUAUAUACGGACUUAUAGCUUUCACCAUAUUAAACAACUGUAUAGUCAUAAUACAGUACACCUUCCCAAUGUACAGCGUAUAUACGCCGUAUAUACGGCCGUAAAGACCUUAUUUUAGAACAUCAACUUAUGUAGCUUGUUUCUAGUGAUUGUUAAAAUGAUAUUUUAGUUUACUGGUGGUAGAUCAUUUUUUUUUGUCAACCUUACAUUAAUUAAUAAAAAUCUCCUUGAUUAGUUGCCCAAUUAGGAGGAUAAGUGUCUACAAAAGAAACUUCAGAAAAUAAAAGUGUAGAAGAACGGGCUAAGCAGUCCGCUUUAACAUUACAUAAACGUAGAAUAAGAGAGAGCGAGAAGAAGGGGAAAGAGACACGGAAAAAACCAAAUUUGUCUAGCAGAUUGGAGAAAGCGGGCCAUUCAUCAGGGGACUGUAUCAUCGAGACUAACUCUGAACAAUCUGUUUCAAACGCCUGGCAAUCUAUUCUUCUUGAAAAGAUAUUCUUCAUAGCCCAAAUUAACGCUUGCAUCUCCGAAUGAAGGGGGAAGGACACCUCCGUAGGCACUUUGCACCGAACAGAAUCGAUUGAUCAUUUCCUUGCAAACAACACUAUCCUAAACUCAUAGUUGGAUCCGAAAUUUUCCAAGAGUCAUCAAACCGACAUCUUAUCGAUUGAACUGGGCAUUCCAAAGUUUCCGUAAUAGGAUUAGUUUCGAUCGGAUCCACCUGAGCUUCGUCCCACAUUAAUUUUUCACUCAAAGCAAGAUUUAAAAUAUAUGUGGGUUCAGAUUGUAAUCCUUUAAAUAUCUUUUUAUUCCUAUCUUUCCAUAUGAACCACAUAAUCCAAGCAUAACUAUAUGUUUUCUCUCCCCUUUUUAGAUUAGAUGGAAGUCUCCAAUAAAGAUAAUCUAGAUUUGAGAAUUCCGAAGUUAGAGGAAAUCUACCUGAUACCAUAGGUAUAUCGGAUAAGUCCCAUACUUUCUGAGAAUGAGAGCACUCAAAUAAAGCAUGAUUUAUUGUUUCCUCUGCCGUCUCACACCGUUUACAGAGAAUAUCACAUCGAAUCCCUCGAUGUACUAAUUUUGAAUUAACUGCUAAGGAUCCCGAAGCAAUUUGCCAUAAGAAAUAUUGUAUUUUUGGAGGGGCUUUGACUUUCCAAGCCUGUGCUUGUAGAGCCUUAUAAUUUGGGCCCCAUUCGAUCGUUUCUAUCACCUCUUUAGCAACCCGAUAGCCUGAUUUUACUGUAUAUCUUCCUGAUUUUGUAUGAUGCAAGAUAAGCCUAUCUUGCUUAGAAACUCGGCUAAUAGUCAGUCUCCUAAUAAGCUGAAUAUCCACUGGAUUCAUAUAUUCUUGUAAAAUGGGAAAGUGCCAUUUUUUAGUAACUGGAUUAAUUUAAUGGUUAACCAUCAAACUUGGAAGUAAAAAAAUUCCUCUUUCAUUUGCAGGCCUUGGGUUAACAUCAGGAAUCCAAGGAUCUCGCCAUACCGAUAUAUUGAAACCCGAGCCUAAUGAUCAUCUAGCUCCCACUUCAACUAAUCCUUUAGUUGAAAAAAUACUCUUCCAUCCAAAUGAUGGAGAAUUUGAUUUUUUUGCCUGUAAAUGAUGAAUAUUCCUGAAGUAUCUACCUUUUAGCACUCGAGCUAGUAAAGAAUUCGAAUAUUGAAUUAAGCGCCAGUACUGUUUAGCCAACAUGGCAUCAUUAAAAAUGUCUAGGGAAUGAAAACCUAAGCCUCCAUCUUCUUUAUCCUUACACAUUUUCUCCCAUGCUAUCCAAUGAAUCCCACGAUCUCGCCCAUUGGAACUCCACCAGUAAUUAGAAAUAGCAUUUGUUAACUUAGAAGUUAACUCUUGAGGGAGUUUAAAACAAGACAUAACAUAGGUUAGGAGUGCCAAAGACACUGAUUUGAUCAUUGUCUCUUUCCCACCUUUCGACAAAAAUUUUGCUGACCAGCCAUUAAUCCGUUUAUUAAGUCUUUUCCAGACAUAAUUAAAGAUUUUACUUUUUUAGCCUCCUAAGCUCUCUGGUAUACCCAAACAUGUACCCAUGCAACAUUCCUUAGUUAUCCAAGGAUGUUUUAAAGUUGAUCUCUUUUUUGGUUUGCUACGCGCCUACCAAACAUAACCGAUGAUUUACUGAGAUUUAUCUCUUGUCCUGAAGCUUUACCAUAAUUCCCAAUAAUAUCCAUCACCGUUUUGCAUUGCUCUGAAUCCGCUUUACAGAAAAAGAGACUAUCAUCGGCAAAGAGUAGAUGUGAAAUUGAUGGGCUUCUUUUCGCUAUCUUAAUUCCGGUCAGCUUUUUUUCUUUUCCCGCCUUGUUAAUAUUUGCAAUCAUUACCUUCGUACAUAAAAUAAACAAACAAGGCGAUAAAGGAUCACCUUGCCGUAAACCUCUACUAGGAAUGAUAUUGCCUCUAGGUUCCCCAUUCAAUAAAACAUGGUACGAGACCGAGCUAACACUCCACAUGAUCCAAGGAACCCAAUUAGAGUUGAAUCCCAACCGAGUCAAUACCGCCUCUAAAAAGUCCCAUUCUAUCCUAUUAUAUGCUUUGCUCAUAUCUGUUUUAAUUGCCAAAAAAUCUGUUCUACACAUUCUAUUAGUCCGUAAACCAUGAAACAUUUACUGAGCUAGUAAGAUGUUGUCUGUUAUAAAUCUCCCUGAAAUGAAAGCAGAUUGUGUUUCAGAGACUAGCCGAGGUAAAAUGUAUUUAAGCCUGAAGCAAAGAAUUUUUGAACUUAUCUUGUAGCUCACAUUGCAGAGACUUAUUGGCCUAAACUCUGCCAUCCUCUGUGGCCUUUCCGUCUUUGGAAUUAGACAAAUAUUUGUUUCAUUUAUUCUCUUAUCGAAACUUCCUGUCCGGAAAAAAAUCUCUGACCAAACCUACCAAAUCUUCCUUUAAGGAAUGCCAAAACCUUUGAUAAAAUAAUGUUCUCAUACCAUCUGGGCCGGCCUGGAGUCUUUUCUGGAUGCAUAGAAAAUAAAGCUUUCCUAACUUCUGUUUCGGAUACCUGCUUGGUUAGUUCCUUGUUCAUAUUUUCCGUAAUAAUUGGAGGCAUUUCAUUUACCAUCUCAGCAAUUCCAUUCGUAUUAGAGACCUUAAAAAUUUCUUUAAAAUAAUUGGUUGCUAUCUCCUCCAUCCCUCUUUCUGAUUCCUCCCAAACGUCAUUAGGUCCAUAUAGACCUGAAAUCUUAUUUCUUGCCCUUCUUUUUUUUGUAGAUGCAUGAAAAUAUUUGGUAUUUUUAUCCCCAACUUUUAACCAAAAAUUUCUGCUCUUCUGUUUCCAAUAAAUUUCCUCCUCAUGAUAAGCUUCCUUUAAUUUAUUUUUGAUUCUUUUUAUUUCCUCUUGCGGAAUCAAGUCAUCAUUCUUUGCUUCUUCUAAAGCCAUCUUAAGCGAAGAAAUAUUGGCCUGACCGGUGGGAAUAUUAUUUUUCCUCCACAAUGAUAUGGAAUUCCUACAAUUCUUUAUUUUAUCCACAAAAACAGGAAUUCUAAAAUUUCUUGUUCGAUUCCAACAUGAAUUUAUGGCCUCAUUAAGACCAUCAUUUCCAACCCAUCUUUUAUCAAAUCUAAAUUGUCGUUUUUUCCUACCCAAAUUUUUCCCACAACUCAAUAAAAUUGGUCGAUGAUCAGAUCCAAUCAUAUCCAAAUAAUCCACUUUUGAAUAAGGAAAUAAGUUAUGCAAUCCUCAUUUCCCAAUGCCCGAUCUAGUCUCCACCUGACUAUCUGUUGGUUCCUAUUACCUCUCCAUGAAAGUUGUUCACCAUAGCAUAGAAAUUCUAGCAUACCGUUAUUUCAAAUCAUAAGACUGAAAGGAACAAAAGAAGCUGAACAAAGGAAGCUGCUGAUCUUAAAUUACCACCUGUUUUCUCAUGAUUUCUGGUCAACUCAUUGAAAUCACCACCUACCAUUAGCCAUGGUUUUUUCCUGUUAGAACCCAACUCUGUUAUUUUAUCCCAUACAAUUUCGCGUUUUGUGGCAACAGGAUCCCCAUAAACGAAUGACAUAAACACUAAUUGUUUCCCAAAAAAUGUUUUAACAUCAAUAAUUCGAUUGCAUGCAUAAAGAAUCUCCAAUUUUAUUUCAUUAUUAUCAAAUAAGGCUAAUCCUCCACUAGCACCGCGCGCGAGGAUCAACUGAUUACAAAUUAUUAAAACCAAAAGAAGUUUGAAAUUUCUGUAAAUAAGGAAGACAUUUUUUGUUUCCGAUAAAAAUGAAAUAUCCGGCUUGUGCUCCCUCCAUAAAUCCUUUAAAAAAUUCUCUGUCAGUUCAGCCCCUAUUCCCUGACAGUUCCAGCUCAGGAUCUUCACGUAGAUCAUUUUCAAAGGAACCUUUAAAUUAAAUUCGGAUUCAAACUCAGUAGUUUAAAUAAUAAACCAAAAAAGUGAGUAAGUUAAACUUUCCAUCAGAAUAAUCACAAAGUUAAUUUGAAAAAUAAUCAAUAUAUAUAUAUAUAUGUAUAUAUAGUCAUGUGAUAAAAUAUUGUUAAACUUUAUCUAUCAAAUUGUUCUAUAUAAUAUUUAAAUAUUUUAUUAAUGUAUGUAAUUAUUUAUUUAGAUAUCCAUUAAAUUUAAUAUGACUUAAGUGUAUUAAUCUAAUACAAUAUGACUUAGUUAUAAAAGUCAUAACAAUUAUAUUUAUGUAUUUGAACCGUAAAUAAUG